rnacentral:lncRNA from 1 species
UUUUUUUUUUUUUGCUGACGGAGAAACUCUUAAUCGAUAUCCUUUAAAUAAGCACACAGUAAACUUCAUUUCAGUAUAAUAACAAUAUCGCAUUCAAACCAUAUAGAAAGAGUAAAAAACGUGCUAGCUAGAUUAGUUUGUGCUUCAAGAUCGAUCAAAAAAAUUAAACACUUAAAAAUCACUUGUUAAUUGUGAUUAAUAAUAAUAAUAUAAUAAUAAUACUAAUAUAGUCUCUUAUUAUUUGUCCUAGGUGGAUUUUUUCUUACACGUAUGAAACCAUGGUUAUAAUGUCCAAAAUAAGUUAAAGUUGUUUAGAUUAAUAUAUGGACCUACAAGUUUGUUUUUGUGGUUCAAAUUAAUCAUGGUCCUACAAGAUAUUUUCUUGAAACUCCAUUAGGUCUCUUCAAUUACACCUAACGAUUCCAACAUAAUUCUUUAUUCCAAAUUACUUUUUUCACCUAGAAAAAAAAAAGGAUGAUUGUCUUAGUAAUAAUAUUUUACUAGAAAUAUCUUAGAUAUAUUAAUUUAUAAUCCACUUGCCCAACUUUAUCCACUAUUAUUUAUUUUAUUUUACAAUGGUUGAAGAAGAGUUUUUGGGAAUGGUUGGUGUUUGCAAAAAAAAAAGUUACAAUACUUAAAAUUGAGUCGGAAAGAGUAUUUGAAAGUUGAAGUUUUAGUUUGAAAAUUAUUUAACAUAUUGUUUAAAGAAAUAUCAGCCAGUAAGUGAAAAUAAAGUUGAUUUAUGAAUGAUUUGAAUAUUAUUUUUUUUAGUUUAAAAUGGAUUUGUAAAUAACAUAAUUUACUUCAUAUCCAAAUUUAAUUUGAUAAGGAUUCAUUAAAUUGACUAUUAAUAGGCAACAAAGUACAAACGAUGAACAAUUUGGAAUAAAACAUGAAUUUUGUCUAGGGACAAAUUAGUAAAUGAAAACACGACCCGUCUUAUCUAUUUAAGUUUGUUCGGAUUAAUAAUCUGUCUAUUUACUAACUCUCUGUUCAUUUUGAUAGGUGAAUUUCAACCCAUUUAAAAGUUGAGGUCAUAUAUAGCCUAAUUUACACAUGAAAGUUUUUCUUAAAAUAUUUUUUGUUUGAUAUAUUAUAUAUAAUCAUAAAAAAAAAAAAAAAAAAAACUUAUAAAUUACAAGAAAAAUAAAUAAAAAUUUGAUAAAAAAAAAAUGCACGGAUCAAACCAUAACCUAUUAUUUAAUCCAUUUUAAUUCGACUCAUUUCACUCCAAAUAGCAUUUGAAAGGACAGAUUAAAUCAGUCAAUUUUAACCCGCCCAUUUGAUAAUCCGACCUUAUUAGCAUACACAAAAAAGAUUUAAGAUUGCGUCCUUCUCUCAACAAUCUAUUUUAAGAUGAUAUCAUUAAGGCAUAAGAAUCCAAGAUUAACACCUAUUGAUUGGCUGGUAAUGAUACUUUAAGUAAUAAAUAAAUUAGAAGAAUUUAAGACAUCAGCAAUUCAAGUUAUAUUUAUGUUUAAACUAUAGUACGUAAGCAAUAAAAUGGGAAGAAAUAAAAAGACAAAACUCAUUUUAUUUAAUUAUAUUGUUAGUAAUAAAAAAAACGUCAGCAGACCAUGUUUGUUUUUUUGUUGUUUUGGAAAAUAAAUAGGUGAGAGGCCUUUGUCGUCUUUGGACCAACUGCUCUUAUACUUAUCAAAAUAUUUGUUUGUUCACACCCUUAUUUUAGAGGUUUUCUUUUACUUUUUUCUAGGUCAGAUAGGAUCAAUGAUUCGAACCUUCUUUGAUAGAAAAUUAUAUUGAUUACACGUAGUUAAGUUAAUCAUCUUUAAUUUUUUCGUAUAUUUACUUAUUUAUAUUUUGAACCUUCUUAGUAAAACUCUUGACUUUUUCAUUGAUUUCGACCAUCUAUUCUAGUUUAGUUGUUAAUACGUGUUUGGAUGAUAUUCAUAACAUGAUGAUAUAUUAUCCGUUUUUAGGGGUGGACGUUCGGUAUUCGAUUCAGGAUAAUCAAAUUUUGGAUUCGGUAAUUGAUAGUUAAAAGUAGAUACCAAAUAUCAAAAUUUUAAAUUUCAGUUCGGUAAUCAAUAAAUUAAAUUUCGAUUUAAUAUGGUAUUCGAUAAUACUGUAUUGAAGUUGUAGCCAAUUGUAUUAUAAAGUUAAUACUAUUUUUUCAAUCAUUUCUAUUUUUUAUGUGAAGGCACGAUAUAAUAGAAGAUCAAUAAGUAAGAAGACAACAAGAAAAACAAAUUGAUACAACUAAAAGACAUGUAUUUGGGUUGUUUAUGUUCAUUCUUUAACUUUCUUCUUUGGAUUUGUACUAAUGAGUAAUGGACAUGUUGAUACAUGAUCUUCAUUAAGUAAAUAAUUCAAUAUUCGAGAACUACCAAAUACCAAAUGGUACUAAUGUCUCAUACCAAACCCAAACCCGAAUAUCAUAAUUCUAAAAUUUUACUUCCGAAUAUCCAAUCACCGAAUACCAAAUUACCAAAAAUUACGAUUCGAUUUGGUAAUUCGAUUUUUGAUAUUUUAAAUCAAAUCCGCAUGAUUUUCUCCAAAAUGCCCCCAUAUCAUUAAGAUAUCUAACACUUUAUUUAUAUAAAACAUGUAACUUUAGCCGGCACAAUUUAAUUUUCUCAAAAUAUAUUCUAAAAUGAAAGCAUCGAAAAGUUAUGAGAUGCCUAUAUAUGACUUUAGCUUAAAAUUAAAUAACCUCUUUAGUCUAAAUCAGAUUAUCUCCAGUUAACAAUUGCUAUUUCUAAAUUAGCUUAUCACUCUUGAUUAUUAACUAAAAUUAAAAACAAGUUCAACAAAUAUAAGAAAUCCUUUAAGUUAAAAGGCAUCAUUAAUAUUAAUGCAACCUUUCUUGUAUUCGUAAAGGCAUUUUGGGCAACUAGAGUCAAUUAGAGUGUGUAAUGUAUAAUUAAUAAAAUAUAAUUCAGUAUAUAGUAUUUUAUUUCGUUUCAAUUAAGUAGGAAGCUGUCAGUGUAAUAAUAUGGUGUGAAUGUUGAAUACAAUUGGUCAAUUGGAUUAACCAAUUGAUUAAAGACUAAUUUCAUUUUACAAAAUUUUAUUCUCAAUUUUUCCUUUACUUACUCAUUCUAGUGUAUCUAACUGUCCCUUAGCACCUCUCUCCUAUUUUUUUUCCAUUUUGUUUUUACAUAUAUGACUUGAAUUAACAUUGGGAGAUUCAAAAUUUUAAAGUUUACAGGUUUAUCAAGUUUUGAAUAAAUUAUUGGGGGGAGGGNNNNNNNNNNNNNNNNNNNNNNNNNNNNNNNNNNNNNNNNNNNNNNNNNNNNNNNNNNNNNNNNNNNNNNNNNNNNNNNNNNNNNNNNNNNNNNNNNNNNNNNNNNNNNNNNNNNNNNNNNNNNNNNNNNNNNNNNNNNNNNNNNNNNNNNNNNNNNNNNNNNNNNNNNNNNNNNNNNNNNNNNNNNNNNNNNNNNNNNNNNNNNNNNNNNNNNNNNNNNNNNNNNNNNNNNNNNNNNNNNNNNNNNNNNNNNNNNNNNNNNNNNNNNNNNNNNNNNNNNNNNNNNNNNNNNNNNNNNNNNNNNNNNNNNNNNNNNNNNNNNNNNNNNNNNNNNNNNNNNNNNNNNNNNNNNNNNNNNNNNNNNNNNNNNNNNNNNNNNNNNNNNNNNNNNNNNNNNNNNNNNNNNNNNNNNNNNNNNNNNNNNNNNNNNNNNNNNNNNNNNNNNNNNNNNNNNNNNNNNNNNNNNNNNNNNNNNNNNNNNNNNNNNNNNNNNNNNNNNNNNNNNNNNNNNNNNNNNNNNNNNNNNNNNNNNNNNNNNNNNNNNNNNNNNNNNNNNNNNNNNNNNNNNNNNNNNNNNNNNNNNNNNNNNNNNNNNNNNNNNNNNNNNNNNNNNNNNNNNNNNNNNNNNNNNNNNNNNNNNNNNNNNNNNNNNNNNNNNNNNNNNNNNNNNNNNNNNNNNNNNNNNNNNNNNNNNNNNNNNNNNNNNNNNNNNNNNNNNNNNNNNNNNNNNNNNNNNNNNNGGGGUGGCGGCUUCUGUGGCGGACAAGCGAGAUUGAGAUGGUUUCAGGAUGUGCAGAGAAGGUGUGCUGACACAGGUGCGAGAGACUAGUUGUAGAGGGUAUGCUGAGGGGUAGAGAUAGGCCGAAGAAGUACUGGACUGGGAGAGGUGAUUAGAUACGUUAUGACACAACUUCAUGUUACCGAAGACAUGACUCUAGAUAGGAAGGAGUGGAUGUCGCGUAUUAGGGUAUAAGGAUUGUAGCCGUAGUACUAGUCGUACCCUUAUAGUUUUUGCCAUUUAUUGUGUUCUCGAUUAUCACAUUAUUUUCAUAUUUGUUAGUUUUCCUUUCUUGUAGACUUUGCAAUGUGUUUUUUUUUAUUAAUGACUAUGUUUUCUUCAUUGUUUUCUUCUUUCUCUACUUGGGUUUGAUUUACUUGAGCCGAGGGUCUUUUGAAAACAACCUCUCUAUCUCUACGAGGUAGUGGUAAGGUUUGCGUACACUCUACCCUUUCCAAACCCCAUUUAGAAGGAUUUCACUGGGUAUGUUGUUGUUGUAUCAUGUAUGUAUAUAAAGCUGUAUCUGGACCACAUUUAAAAGAUAUAAACGUGCCUGAGCAAGCUAAUAGAAGGGCCAGUUAUACAUUUGACCGAUCAGCAGAAAAUAAUUACAUUCACGAGCUAAAUAUACGACACAUUAUUUUGUACUAUAAUAUAUGUACAUUAUACACAAACUAUUCAAUAUAUAUAUACACAUCAAAUUUAAGAAUCUUUACAAAGUAUAGUAUCACAAUGCUGACCAGAAUAAUAAUAGUAUAUAUAUAUACACACUGAUAAAAUGAGUGACAAACCAAGUCAUUAGAGACUUAUUUUAUAUUUCAUAGGCUUAUGUGCUCUGCAUUUACAACAAUGUUGAGCACGUGUAUGAAUGUUUCAAACUAUUUUAUACAAACUUUAGUAAAGGAGGAUCUCCAUUUGGUUGUGGCUUCCAUGUCUACAACUUCCACAAUAUGCAUUGUCAACUUGCUUUGACUUCUUCCAUUCUGCAGGCAGGCAAGAGCUAAUAGUCAGUCCCACCGGCAUCAAACAAAAAACAAAGUCUACGCAAAGAGAUUUAUUUUAUAAUGUGGUGUCCGUGCCAGCUUGGGCAUGCCUCAGAUAGUCCACCGAAUACCUAGUACCUCCCACCAAUGCAGUCAUACAAAUAGAUAUUUAGCGAGAAUGAAAGACUUUUAAUGGCAGGUUAUGUUAUGUUGUUAGAAAUAAAAUGACGCGAGGAUAAGUCAUGAUCAUACUUCCGUUGACAUGAAAAAAGAGGAUACAACCAUCUAAAGUGCCUCCUCUAACACAGAGGCGUCAAGCAUUUCACAAUGAGUUAUCUAAAUUUACUUUUUAUGCAUAAAGAAUGAGAUAUCUUAUAUAUUUAGUCAUGUAUGACUUUGAAAAAACAAUGCAAUGUCAGGCCAGAGUUUAGUCACACGGGCAUCAACCAAAUAAGCAUCGUCAUGCAUAGAGAGAACAAAAGACUUCUGUUGACAUUUCAGGAGAUGAUAUUAUAAAGAAACAUGUGAACAAGUCAUGAUCAUACUUUCAUUGACAUGAAAAAAGGGUUACGGUCAUUUAAAGUGCCUCCUCCUGCAUAGAGGCGUUGAACAUUUAAGUGAGUUAUCUAAUUUUCUAUUUAGAGGCAACAAAUAAGCUAUCUUAUAUAUUCAGACAUGUUUGACUUUCUAACAAUCGAUGCUUCUUUGAGUGAUAUCAAAAGACAAGCUCUAUCAAUUCUAUGAAAGAAACCUCUUGUCAGUUCUUCGCUUCAAUUCAGAUUAUUAAAACAUAAAGUCAAGGACAACUGCAUUUUGAAAGAUCAACUACAUGUUACGUCAGUAUAUAGAUUUAAUUCAUAAUUGAAAAUACUCAAAUGUAUAUAUCACAAUAUCACAAACAAUGCCACCUUUUCCAAACACAGAAAAGAAUAAAUGUCUUCUUUGUCUCCAUAGAUAAAGAAUUGGUGGUAUCUAUCAUUCGUUUAUUUAUCAGAAGGAAUAUGCUUCUAUUUUUCUUGUUCAUCCCAAGUAAUGUAAAGCAUUAUUCUUAUAUUAGCUUAAUCAUAAGUUUCAUCAAGGUAAAAGAUUUAUGAGCCGCAUAUUCUUUCUGAUUACUAAUAGUCGUCCCUUUAAAACUGAUUUAGUUCUGUUCCAAAAUAUAUCAUUCAGCUCUUCAGUAAUUUGUGAUUCAUUUGGUAAAGCACAGCUAAUUCAAUUACUUGAUGCUCCCCAUCUACUAACAGAACAUAUCCUUGAAAUAAAAGAAGAUAAGGAUGUGCCACACAUAGAUUGAAGAACAAAGGUUUGAAAAGAUCAAUUGUGCUCAGAAAAAAUUCAAGGGUUUAAUUAAAAAAGUACAAUGUUUUCAAUGAAAUCAUAAAGUAAUUCCUUGGGAUGGUUGGCACAUUGGACACCACAGGUUAUCUAUACCAAGUCCAAUUCUACACUGUGGGCCAAAUGACCUUUUCUAUUCAACUCAUGUUUUGAAAUCUUAUCCUUAUGACCUGUAGAUUGUAUAAUACUUAAAAUGAGCCGCCCACUUACACAAUGGAUUUGAAGUCAAUAGAAUUUGUAUCUGGAAGUAUUUACGCAGAAAAGUUCAACACGACUUAAAAUGAUGAGAUUCAAUUAUGGUGGAUGUCAGUUCUAACGGACUGGGUUUAGCUACCGCUUACAUGCUACAAGCUGCCAAAACCAAAACAGAGCAAUAGCGGAUAUACUAGGAAAAUGCUUAUAUGACAAACAAAAAUAUUGGAAUUUGUAACUGGACUAGAACUGUCUCCAGAUUUAGAUCAUAAAUUCUCAUUUCCCGCCCCAGCCUGUUCAGUACCUAAACUAUAUCUGUCUUAUCAAAAUGGCCAACUACUAAUCUACUUCUAAUCCCCUCAUUGAUCUCUCUGACACCCCCAAAAUGCCUAUUGUCGUUUAAGCAUUGCCUCCUCACUGUUUCAUCCAUGUAAGAAUCUCAUCUUUCCAAUAAAUGUUGUGUUAAGAUCUCGUUGCUAUCUUUUGAAAUCAAGUCAAGACGUUACAAAUGAAAAGUUACAACUUCCAAUACCAGUUUCAUAUAUUUCUUUUUUUAGAAUUGAACAAAAAAAAAACGCAGAAUGGUUAUCAUACUAAUAUUGACAUGCCAAAAGGAGAGACAUAAUAGAAAGGAUAUAUUCCUAGAUAACACUUUGUUUUAGGAUACAAACCCUAAAUAAAAUUCUACAAUUUCUUAAGAAGAUAGCAACAUUUCUUCUGAGAAGGACUAACAUGUUCCAGAAGAACAUGUGAUUCAAGGAUGUCCAUACAUAUGUGUCUAUAUGUUAAGAUUGAUGUAUUUUGAUGAUUAACAAACACGAUGUACUCUGAAGGAAUUGUGUUAAGAACCAGGUCCUUAAUGCUGAUGAAUAAUUAGCUGAAAGAUGUGAUUGUGUUGCGAUAUUUUAGGGAAAAUAUCUGUGUAUAUCUCCAUUAUUAUUCAUGCAAUAUAUUCUUAGAUAAUCACAAGAUCUUUCCAAAUUUUUUGAGCUCUAAAAGGAUUCAGUGUAUGACCGAAUUGGAGCUAUUUUUUUGUAAGACACGAUUUGAGAAUCCUUCUCUGAUUUGAUUUGAUUUGAUUUCCUUACUUGAUAGAAUCUUCGAACUAAGUAGCUUCUUUUUUCAUGUGCUUACUAAUGUGUAUUAUAUUAUUUUUUUAUUACUUAUUUAUUUUGAUGACCAUCGUGUCCGGUUUUCGUGCACCUUGACUAAUUCCAUCGAUACGUAUCACCUCCCUCCAACAAUAGGUAUCAGGCAACUCUGUCCCCCAAGGCUAGAACAUAUGGAAGAAUAAAUUUAUUGUAUACUACAUUGUCGGAAAUCAUUCAUUCACACAAAUUGAGAGAUUGAGCAACAGUUUGUCUUUUAGAGCUUUCAAGCAAUUUGUCGUUCUUGAAAGUACGAAGACUGAUCAUCUGAGAGUGAAGAACCAGGCCGAAGACUCUGGUCCUUGUGUGGCUACUUCAAUUCAUUGAGUCCAGUCCUGGGUUCACUUGUAAUAAGAAUUUGAGUUGUAACCAUCUACUUAUUUGGAAGUACUGUCAGGUUGCAGGUUGUUUUGUUAUGUGAAACAUAUUUGUUGUUCAAGUCAGUGUGACUUGAGGCAAGUAUAGCAGUCAGGUAACGGUUAAUAUCAAGGUUUAGAGUUAAUUCUUAGAUUGCAAGGGUUUGUAAUCUGAAUUUUCGGCUCACUUUGUUUAGUGGAGUCGGCUAACAGUCGUGGUUUUUGCAUCUUUUAAGGCUGGUGUUUUUCUGUGUUAAAAAUUCUGUGUUUUUACUAUUACACACUUUACUGUUUUUGUGUUCUAAACUGAAUUCUCAAAGGACCAGAUUCUACAGUCGAGUUAGGCAAAUAUUAAGAGCGAUGAAAAUUUGGUACAACCUAAUUCACCCCCCACCCCCCUUGAGUUGUCAAGGUGCACCUAAACUAACACUAUAUAUUGGUUAUUUACUGGAAUCUUGGCGAGUAAGAGCUAAAAAGAGAAUACAUUCACCAAAUAUUCCACUGUUUGAGUAUUUCUUAUAGUUCAUGUGGAGUAUGCUCUAUCAAGUAUCAGAGCCUCCUCGGGAUGUGAAGGUCUGUCUACAGAUUUAUACAAAGAAAACAGAUGCAAAAGGAGCAAUAGCCACAACUCCGGAAACCACACCCUGAACAGCCCAAACUUAAUCAUUUUCUCCAUCUCCUAUAGAUUCAUAAAGUUGCAUGGACAAAAGAAACAACGGUCUUGGGAUCGGUAUAAGUUACAAAGACCUUGGAGAUCUAGGCAUACAUUUUACCAUCUUUCACAGUGAAGCACACUGUAGUAAGAUACUUGCUCCAGUAACUUGAGAUAUGUUAGAGUGGGUCCGAAUCCUACAUUGGUUGGGGAAUGGACUGGUGGUUUGUUUAUAUGGGCUUGGAAAAUCCUCUCCCUCAUACUAACUUUUGGGGUUGAGUUAGGCCUACAUGGUAUCAGAGACAGGUUCAUCCCUAGAGACAAGUCCAUCCCUGUUUGGGUUCCCAUUCCACGCUUCAAUUAAAGCUGGGAGUGAAGGAGGGUGUUAGAGUGGGUAGUAAUCCCACAUUUGUUGGGGAAUGGACUGGUGGUUUGUUGGACAAUCCUCCCCUUAUGCACCAACUUUUGGGGUUUAGUUUGGCUCAGGUGCCAUGAUAUAUAGAUACAACACAUAAGAUAUGCAGAAAUUGUAUUCCCUACUGGCUUAAAAAAGUUAGCUGCUAAAAAGAAGACGUACCUAUAAUUUAUGCUUAAAUUUUUGUCUCUGCAUCCUUUAUUUCCAAGAGUGGGGACUUUGAAUUGAUAUUUCUUGUGAGCUUGUCUUCAUCCACCUUGUCUUCUUUUGUUUUUCCCCACAUAACAGCGUAAAAGCCAACAACAAUUAUAAUUGACCCCAUCAAGCUGUACUCAACAAAGGUGAUGAUUAGGUACAUGCAAACAGUACUUUACAACACUCAUGAGAGAGAGAAAAGAGUUCAUAAUAGAAACAUUUUUUCAAUUUGGACUGCCGCCAAUUGACAGAUUUGUAAGAUUGUAAAUGAAAUAUAAACAUACCUUCCAAGGUAGAAAAUAUCUCCUAAGAAGAUUAUACCCAAUGCAGCAGCAAUUACGAUUCCAAGAGGAUGGAACAUAGCAACAAAGAGGGGUCCCUUUCUACGAAUGCACCAAAACAUCACACUGACUUGAAAUGCUGAGCCAAAUAUUCCCUAAGGAAAGCAAAAUACACGUCAAAUGUUUGAGAUAUGCUGAAGAAUGCAACUGAUAUACCCCUCAAUGCUGAGCAAAUAUAAAAAAACACAUUCAGUGUUCUCUAUUGACAUUUGACAAUACUCAAAACAUUAUAGCUUCCUUAUAAUUACUGAUAAGCCCAGACUUCUUCUUAGUAAAACAAAGAGAUGUGUUUAGUUGUGAAUUUGUUGUUAAAUUAUUCAUAGAUAAUAAUAAAAAAAAAAUUUGAUAAUUUGUUGGUAUAACUUGAACAAUUUCCUUCUUCUAUUACUCUUAUGUAUUUUGUUGACAUUCUAAUUUAUUGUUUAUUUGGGAAGUUUGUUAAGAAAAAAUUUAUAGUAAAAUUUUACUCCAAAAGGUAAAAUUUGAUGGUUAGCUAUUUUUCAGAGUGGUCUAUGGAUAGUCUGUCUUAUUGGUGAAAUCUGGCCUCUCAACAUAAAUGGGUAAGUAAUUUAAAAAUAUUACAAACUUUUGACAUGUCAACCAAAUAUAUAGCGAAGUACCAAAAUUAUUCUUUCAAAUGAGUGGUGGUUAGAGUUCCACAAUCUUUCAUUUUCUCUAUCCUUCUAAAAGAAUGAACCUCUGUAUCAAAUGGGUCCAAAUAAGUCAUGUUAUCAAAAUUAAACUGCAGAUGCUAGAUCAAAUAGUUUCCAAAAAGAAAAAGAUAUUAUUUUUGAGAUAGACUCAAAUGGAAAAUGUGUCCCAUAAAUGGAAUUCAAGGGAUUAUUGAAGAGCAAUGCAUGAACGUAAUUCAAAAUAUCAUUAGCAAUCUGGUAUAGGAAGUAAAUGAACUAUUUCAAUAUGUACUUGUCUCUUCGCUUUUGGUGCUACACCCAUGACAACAUGGGUGUGGGUGUGGGAUCCGUAUCGGAUAUGGUCAAUCAAUUUUGGGUACUUUGAUCAAAAUUGAUUGAGAAAUUCAAGACAAAUACAAUGAUUUCUGACAUCAAAACAAAAGAUAGGGUGAAAUCAUAAUUUAGGCAUAUGUUUUUUCAUCCUUAAAAGAUAUUUGUAUUAAAAAUCCGCAACCAAAAGGUGUUUUAAAGAUAUAUACAGGUCAAUAUCAUUGUUGAAUGUGCAAUGAACUCAAGAAGUCUAUCAUGACCUUUAUAUCAUUUAAAAUAGUCAUGUUACACCAAACAAACAGUAAGGAGAUGCAUAUGUACGUAAUAAUAAUUAGAGAUGCAAACUUGCUCUCAAUUAUCCGUGCAUUCCUCUCCUUCCAAACAAUCCACCUUUACUUAGGCAUUUUUUUUUCUAUUUUUAGUUAUUUGAAUUAUUUUUAGUUGAAUCCCAGUACGGCUGUACCCGUAUCCAUACUUGGAUCCAUACCCCUUAAAAUUUAAAACAUGAAGGAUCCGCGCCCAUGGCGGAUACCCACACCCUAGUUCGAGCAACUUAGAUAUACUUUCCCCCUUACAUUUUAUAUUGUGGUGCUUAACUGGUAGGCUGUUUAAGAAAGAAAAAGAAAAACUUCUGGUACAUACCAAAAACUAUGUUGCUUGGACUCUUCAUAAAUGUCAACCGAUGCAUGUCGGGUUCUUCAAAAGGAGUGUAUUUUUGGAGAAUUUGACACGGGUGGGGCAUCGAAAAUGAAGAGCCCGCGCAAUGUAGACCAAAAGUGCCCUUAGAACAUGUGGUCUUAAACAUAUCAUGAUAUUUCUAUGGUUAUGAACAUAUCAUUGAGGAUAAAAUGAAAUGUUUAAAGCUAAAAGAAUUUUCAAAUAUAGAAAGAUGUCAUGCUUCUUGGAACAAACAAAAAAAAAGAAAGAAUGUCAGAUAAAGGAACAGUUACAUAGAGAAAAAAUAUAUUCCAACCACAGUCAAGAUUAUUGUCCAAUGUAGAUUGUCAAUUGAAAGUUGUGCUUGUUCAGAAGGCACAUUACAUCAAGACAUUUUCACAGUACAAGCAAUUUGUUGGCAAAAGAUUUAGGUCCCCCCCCUCUUUCACUUUUAAGAAGAUUCAUGAAGAAAGAAACUUUUCAAAAGUUAGAAGUAUUUAUUUACUUAUUGAUCACUUAGCCAAUAUCUUCUUCUCCUCCCUUUCCUAUCAUUACAUGUUAACUGACUGUCCAACACAUACUUCCCGACCUGAACACUCUUGGAACACCCACUAAAAUCAGUACAUAUCAGCCUCAUUAUGGACCAGCUUAUCCCUCUCUAUCUUUAUUUUGUUUCUAACCUUAAGAGAUUCAUGCUUUAGAACAAACUCCGUGCUCUAGUGUAGUACCUAACCUGAUCCCACCUUUGCAUAACACUCUAACUGAGAUUAAGUAAGAGCAGAAACAUAGAAAAGUACCGUACCUUAGUUUGCAAUUGAUAAAGUCUAGGUCUAAAUUCUAAUACGAUCAAAUUGAGCUAAGUUAAGAUUAGGGGAUUGGGUGGAGGAAAAUGUACAAUUAGCUAGAAUUUACGUCUGAUACCAAGCAGGUGGAGACCUAGAAUCAGGUUAAGUAAUUCCAUACAGAGCCAGGAGCCUUACAAAUACUUCGUCCAUGUAUAUCUUAGCAUGGUCACAAACUCACUAUACGAGCAAACAGAAUAUAAAUGCACACAAUUUACCUACUUACUGAGUAUAGAACAGCAAACAAUCUCGUACCAGGUUGUAGCAACCAAGCAUUUAAGUUCCUGUCCAUAAACAGAGAGACAAUUGCUGAUAUAAUGGAUGCAAAGAAGCAGUAAAAGAAGACCACAAUCAGCUCAACUGGAUAUUUCUGAAGGACGGAAGCCUGUAAAAAGAAAAAUAUAUCAGUUGUAGUGCUGAUUCUCAACUAAUAAAAGAGUCACUUUCAAGGAGUUAUUCUCACACCUGUACAAUUAAAUAUAACGAAGACACUACACAAUCCACUACAAGAUAUAGUCCUCCAAUUAUCCAGUCAGUUUCCUGGAAAUGAAGAUAAUUUUGAGGCUUCGAAGAGGAAGUCAACAAAAUUUGUGGUCCCUUGUAAAGAGUGGCGGUGAAUGCUCCGGCAAUUGAGACGAUGGUUCCAAUGGAUUUAAUCAGAGUACUUGUACUUCGACAAUCUAAUUUUUCCAUCCUAAAACAAAGCAAAACAAAAGUGUAUGUGUUACUUUUCCAGUCUCUUGUGAUCAAAGAGACCAUCAUUAUAUUCUUUCUUAUCCUUCCAUGGUUCCUGAAUUUCCCGAGAAUCUCCCCAUUACAUUUUUUUUGUUCAUGCGUGCUCUAUAAUUGGAUAGAAAUGAAGAAUUCAAUUGAAUUUGAAAACAAUUAUACUAACGAUUGAAACCAAAGAAACUGUGAAGAAACAGUCACACUACUAACUGCAACAUUUGUAACAUCAAAAACAUAACUACACCAAGUAGAAAAAAACAUAUUACGAACAACUCCAGUUCAGAGGGAAUCUGUUUUAUGAUAUGCCUGAAAUCGAAUAAACUCGCUUACUUAAUACUCCCUAUGUUCCAAUUUAUAUGAUAAUCUUCUCUCUUUAGGCAGUUCCAAAUAGAAUGACACAUUUUUAUAUUUGAAAACUAUUUAACUUAGACUUCUCACUUUACCCUUAAUGAUAUACUAGCUAUAAGAAUGUCACAUUACAUUUACGAGUACCAAGCUCUAGGACUAAUUAGUCAAUCUUUCAUAAACUCCAUUCUACUCUAAAAUCAACUAGAGCAAAAGUGAGAAGAGGGGCAAAAAAAAAAAACCUGAAAAUGACGGCAAGUAUGAAAGUAAAACCUGGGAUGAGGUUGAGCAUUGCUGAGGCAAACGAAGCAGAAGUAUAAUUAAUCCCAGUAUACCCAGUUAGCUGAGCUGAACAACUACAAAAACACGAAAAACUACUGAUUCAAUAAACAGUAAAAAAAUUCACAAAUAAUCCAAUUGAAAAUGAGAAAAUCACAUACCCAAGAACACCCAGCAAGAAAAACCAACAAAUGAGUGAGAAAUUGAGUGGCGGACGAGUUGACCUACACAAUCAAAUAAGUAAAUCAAUUAAAGAUGGUAACUUUUUUGUGGGUUUUUCGAAUUGAAGCGAAAGGGUACCUGUAGAAGAAGAGAGAAGGGAGGAGAAUAAGGGCUGCAAGAGUGUUGGAGUAGAAAACGAAGGUGAAAUUGGUCAUUCCGGCGGACAUGGCUUUUUUGCCUACUAUCAUUAAACCCACUUGUGCGAAUUGGGUUGAAGCCAUUCCUAUAUAUGGCAAAGCUACCUUCAUCUCCAUCGCCAUUUUUGAGUGUCUUGUUUCUGAACUUGCGCUUCACCUGUAGAAAAAAUCAGUUUCAAAGUUUGUUAGGAUACUGAGGCCCCAAAUGAUUGGUAUCUCUUUUUUCAUCUUUGACGCAUCUCUCAGCAGUAACAAAUAUCAGAUAAUCCUGUGUUCGUGUCCAAAUGAUUGGUAUCUCUUUUUCUUUUCUUUUUUUAAAUGUUGUCCUAUCUCUCACUAGUAAUAGAUAUCAGAUAAUCUGUGUUCAUGUUCAUCAACAUUAAGAUAAAUGGAAAGAAUUGGUUAGUGACCACUAUACCUGAAAUCUCAUGAUUUACAACUAUUUUAUUGACCACUAGAUCACAGCUUUUCGAUGUUGAUAUCUCCUUGCAUUUGCUAUUUUCCUUCAUUUAUUUAGUAGUAUGGUUUGAAACUUGAGAGAUAAUGGGUCAAUUUCUUUAUGUUUUUUAGCUUAAAUAUGAGGUUUUUAUUUGCCAUAAGAUUUGAAUUUAUAACUCAUCUCAUCCACGCAUCACAUUUUGUGUUUUUUAUCACAGGACCAAAGCCUUGGGUUGGUUUAUAGUAUAACUUUGAAAGAAUGAACAUGAUUAAACCAAAAUCUUUUUGCUACAUUUGAGGUAUGAAAUCUUUUGUAUAAAAUUGCUCGUUUUAUUCUUUAAAUGAAAUGAUCUUUAAUUUUUGUCCUUUAAGUAGGUUGGUCUAUAAUUUUUGCCCUUUAGGAAUAAAAUGUGUACUUUGUGGGACAUAAGUUCUUUAGAAACUAAAGUUAUGCCCGAACAUCACCUAUAUAUUAUAACAUGAAAAUAUAAACUUAUGUUAUACGAAAAAUUAUUUGUUACGACUUACGAGUGAAUGAAGAUUAAAAACCAGCACAAGAUAGGAGCAAAAUGAAUAUUCAUAGAGAUACAAUGUAAUUGUUCAUAAACAUUCCAACCCAAAAGAACUUUCAAUAAGCCCACUAGCAAAGUGUUAGCCCUUAAAAAGAUUUUGUCUCAUAUAUUAACCUCAGGAUCAUCAUCAAUUUUGUCUUGUAAAAAUGGCAUCUUCUUGUUGUUUGAUCCUAAGUUCUUCUCUUUCUUUUUCCAUUCUUUACUUUGUCCCCAUAUCACUGAAUAAAAUCCAAUCACAAUGAUGAUUGAUCCCACCAAACUACAAAAGAAAAAACAGAAAAAACGACUCAACAAAUUAUGUCACAUCAAUUACUGUAUUUACUAAUUCAAAAUUCUGAAUCCAUGACUCGUCAAAUAUAACAAAACAAAUAUAAAUAGAAAGUAAAUGAAACCUUAAACAUGUGUGAUUUACCUUCCCACAUGAAUAAUUUCACCCAUAAAUAUGCUAGCAGCCAUAGCAACAACAAUGCCUAAUGGAUGAAACAUGACAACAAAGAGAGGUCCUUUUUUCCUCACACACCAUGCACCUAUACUAACUUGGAAUACAUUUCCAAAUAAACCCUGCAUUAUUUCAAGUAUAACGCGUUAUAAAAAUCUUUAAAGAUCAAAUUCAUCAAGUUUAAAUCAUGAAUCUGCCUUUCAGAUAUAUACUAAACUUAUAUAUAUCGACUUAGUUACCGAGUAUAUGAUAGCCAUUAAUCUGCUGUGAGGGCUUAAACUCCAAGAAUUCAAAUCUCUUUCAACAAUUAAAGAGAAAACAGCACAUAAUAUUGUAACACAGCAGCUAUAAAACAACAUUAAAAUCAGCUCUGCUGGAUAUUUCUUAAGGACAAAUGCCUGCAAAACAUGAAACAGAGGAAAACAGAUCAUGAUUGAUGAAAAAUGAUUUCCAAUUUAUGUGACACAGUUGGAAUUUCGAGAAUCAACCAAGUUUCUUUGACUGAAACAAUGUAACAAAUUGCGAUUUUAGUACUUUUUACCUAAUUUCCAAAAAUAUCAUAAUCAAAAUUUAGAAGUUUGAAUCUCGAAAUUCCAACUAUGUCACAUCAAUUGAGACAAAGACAGUAAUUUGUUGACAAUUGUAAUUACCUGUGAAAUGAUAAAGAAAGAAGCAAUUAGAGAGCAAAUCAUAGUGAGCAAACCUCCAAUGGCCCAAGCAGAAGGGGUUGUUAAUAUUGUAUUUAAAGGACUAAUUCCAAAAACUUGAGGGCCUUUAUAUAAAGUUGCAACAAAUGCACCUAUUAUUGAUACCAAAGUCCCAAUAGUUUUAGCCAUUGUGCUCAAACUUUUGUACUCAAAAGUUUCCAUCCUGAUUAAAUAAAAAAUAAAAAUAAAAUUAGUGAACACAAAAGUUGAACAUAUAUUUAGAUACAAAUUGAAAAGGUUACUCCCUUCUUUUCUUUUUAGUUGUCACGUUGUGUUUUUCGAAAGUUAAUUUGAUUGACUUUCCAAGCUAUAUCAAAGUAUAUUAAAUUUUUUAUUUUCAAUAACGAUAUGAAAAGGAUUAUAAAUUACAAUUUUUUUUCAUAUCUAUCACUAUGAUGAAAAAAUACAUGUUAAAAUAGGAAUAAUACAUAAAAAUGUCUUUUAACUUAGCCUCGAUGGGCAUCUAUGCACUCUAGCUUUGAAUGUGCAUAAGUAGACAUUUAAGCUAUCUAAAAGUAAAAACAAGUAGACACACACGUCCUAUAUGGCAUAGCACACAUAGGAUGCCAUGUAGGAUGCAGAACUGCUACGUAGGACGCCACAUAGGACGCGUCUAUUUACUUGUUCAACUUUUGAAUAGUGGCGGAGUUAGGAUUUUUAAUAAGGGGUUUCAAAAUCUGAAGAACUAAACAUGACACGAACUAACUGAAAAGGGUUCAACAUCUACUAUAUAUACAUAAAAAAUAAUUUUAACCAUGUAUGAAUAGUAUAUUUUCCGCCGAAGGUGGUUCGGAUGAACCCCCUAACAGAAGGCUGGCUCCGCCCCUGCUUUUGAAUAGUUUAAGUGUUUACUUGUGCGCACUCAAAGUUGAAGGGCAUAUAUGUCAGUUGAUGCCAAGUUAAAGGGCACAUUUAUGUUAGUCUAAAUUCAUAUUUUCUGAUUUUAAAAAAAGGAAACAGUAAGAAAUAAAAAAGAACGGAAUGAGUAUUAUAUGUUAAAAGAAAGGUGAUUUAAAUUUAAACCUGAGAAUGACUGCAAGAAUGAAAGUGAAUCCUGGAACUAGUUGCAAUAUUGCUGUGGAAAGUAAUGGAGAUGAAUAUUGAAGUCCAAGAAAUCCAAGCACUUGCAUCAAGAAACUAUAAAAUUGCACUGUUAUUAGUCAUUUUUUCUCUAAAAUUGAAUUGCUAAAUAGAGCCACAAAUUUACAUUUACAUACCCCAUUAUGCCAAGCAAGAAAAAUCCAUAGAGAAAAGUAGGCCAAAGAGGUGGAAUAGCUGACCUGUAUUUUCGGAAAAAAAUAUAUACAUAAAAUAUCUAGUUUUACAGAGAGACCACGAACUCACCUGCCACAUAUUUUGCAUAUGAAUUCACUCAUGUGCUCAAAUGGUAAGCAUGAUUCACAUCCAAUUCUAAGAUUGUGGAUUCGAGUCAUCAAAAAAAUCAGAGUUUAUAUCACAAAAGGUCACUCAAGUAUAAGAGUUUAUCUAGCAGAGCCACUAAACUUUAUUUUGUAUCAAUAAAAUCACUCAACUUAUGAUUUUAGAUUUUCUAAAAUCACUCAACUAAAUUUAGUGUGUAUGAGUUUCAGUCACACACAAUUGAAACACAUAUUAAAAUUGGCUAAAAUUUCAUGCAUGUGCGUCUGAAUUAUUUUGGUCAAGAAAAUAAUAAUUUUAUUUUUCAAAUUUCAACAUCCAAAUCUACUCCAAAUAAGCUCAUAGUUGAAACAUAAAUUCCAUAUAUCAUGAAGAACACACUUCAAUUCAUAAAUUUGUCAAAAUAACAACAAACAUAUUUAAAAUCAUUUUAAUUUUUUGAAGUUUUUUAAAAUUAUAAAUUCAAAUCUGAGACGAUACGUUAAAAACAUAAAUUAUAUUUUUUUAUUAACGUAUACUUACAAAUCAAAUCAAUUAUAAUCAGUGUUUCUUCCGUCACUCAAAUCAAAUCAAAUCAAAUCAUUAAUCAAUUUACAUACCUAUGAAGGAAGAAGGAAAGUGGAAUAAGAAGUAGAGUUGAAAAAGCACUUGAGUAAAAAGUAUAAGUGAAACUAGUCAUCCCAGUUGACAUAGCCACUUUAGCUACCACAGCUAAUCCAACUUGUGCUAAUUGCUGAACUAUCAUGGCUAUAAAUGGAACCACUCCACUCAUUUUCAUCUCUUGAUAUAUGAUGAAUUUCCUCGUGAAAUACUCUGGAUCGAAAAAAUUUAAUCAGCUCUAAUAAAUUUUCAAUUCGAAACUUGUUCAAAUUGAUUCCUUUCGAUUUUCAUAUCGAAAAUAUAUUUACAAAGUUAUUCUAAAAACCAAUGAACAGGUUUGAAUUUGCUUUAAUGUGAAUUCAAAUUAAUGAGGUUCCUAGAAGUAAUCAAAUUGUAUGGGAAGGAACAUAUAUCGAUAUGUCACAAUAUUUUAAUUGUCUAUUUCUAGUGUAUAUUUAUAUAUUCUUGAUUUGUCUUUUUGUCAUUAUUAAUCGAAAUUAACGAUGGAUCUACGUGAUAUUUCAAAUUUAAUUUUAUUAUGACUACUUUCUUUAUUUUACUUAUUUCAUACGUACCAGCAUGCGUGGUAUUCCCUUAUUUUAUUGAACAUAGUGGGUAGGUGGUGUUUAUCACUUGCACCAAUAUAUUCAUUUAAAAUUAUUGAGUUUUUAAAUUAUACAGACGUCCAAUUGAAAUAACAAUUGGUUAAAUAAUAUUUUACAGUCUACUGAUCAUAGUUACGCAGUGUUCCUAGAAGUUGUCAUUAUGCUCAGUUAUUUCACAAGGUUAUGAUAUACUAUUUUGUUCCAUUUUAGUUGUGAUGCUUUUUUUACACGUUUCUCGAGAAAAUUUACUAAAAAUGUAACUUGAUUAAAUUAUUUGUAUUUACUUAUUUAUAUCGAUUUAAUACAAUAUAAAUUAAAACACUAUUUUUACAACAACAUACAAUUAUUCCUUUUCUGAAAAUGAAUUGAUUAUGUAUUUAUGCUGGUGGAAGAUAACAUUAUGUAUCUUAUAAAAUUAAUCGAGAUGCACACGAGCGAACUCGAACACCGCAUUUAUGCCUCAUUUUGCAGCAGAGGGACAUUAUUUUCAGCAAGUGUUUCUAAGUUGUUCCCCUCAUAGUAUUUUUCUUGAGUUUUUCCCCACAUCACACCAUAAAACCCAAUCACUGUGGUCACUGAUCCCACCAAACUGCAAGAAAUGUCUAUAUUAGUGUACACAUAUCAUGUCUUAAUGUUAUUUGACUGAAUACAAAAAAAUUUAAAAUGAUAAAAAAGUCCUAGAAUAUAUAUAGUGAUGUUAAACUUUUUGCAGCUUUAAUAGUAUAUUAUUAAGGAUUAAUUUUUUAAAAUUUUGAAAAGAGGGAGUAAUAAAUUAAAAUUAAUGUCAAAAGUUACAGAAUUCAUGUAUUAGUACAGCUGGUCCAUAUUAUUUAGUCUUUUAACGUGUUUGUACACCUUUUAAAAAAGAUAUCCAAAAGUUUUAAUUAUAAAAAUAUUAUAUUUGCCUGAAUCAAAAAUAACAUUUACCUCUAUUAAACUUUUCACUUAAUUAAACUUUAUUAAUUAGAGCAGUAAAAAGGAAUUUGAAAAAACAUAAUAAAUAUUUCUUGUUUUUUCUAAAAAAAAUAUUAAAAUAUUUUAAAACAAAUUUAUUUUGUCAAAACGAUGCAUAUUUAGGAUUAAAAGAGAGAAGUAUUGAAAACACUUCUGAACUUGGCAUGAAUAGUUAGUUUAGUCUCCAAACUAUUGACAGCCUUAAAAACACCCAUCUACUUGACUAGUUGAUCUUAAAUACACCCCGAUCUGCCACAUGGAAUGACAAGUGGUCUGAAACUCUUGUAGGAGCGUGAGACUUUUAAUAAAAAGCCGCAAGAAGUGUUGAAAACAACCCCAAACUUGGCGAGAAUUUAGGGGUGUAUUUCACCCAUUUGGCAAGAUCGGGAGUUUACUUAUUUAAGUUCAAUUAGUCAAGUAGAGGGAUUUUUUUAAUACUGUCAAUAAUUUAGAUAUGAAACUAAUAAUUCGCACCAAGUUUAAAGAUAUUUUCAAUACUUUUCUCAAAUUAAAAAGAUUAUUUAUGAUAAUUAAUAAGUAACAAUACAUACCUUCCUAAGUAGAAAACAUCUCUAAAGCAAAAGGUACCAAUGAGAAGAGCAAAAACAAUGGCAAAUGGUUUGAACAUGGAAACAAAGAGAGGAUCUGUCUUCUUGAGGCACCAUGUUGUCAUGCAACUCCUGAAUGCUAUACCAACUAUACCCUGAAUGAACAAAUUAUAAUGUAAGUUAAUUGUCUUAAAUAAGUACAAUGGAUACUUUUGUCUAUUGAUAUACCCUUCCUCUUCUUAGUGAAGGUCAAACAUCAGACAUUUUUAUCUGAAGUUUGAUAUGACUUGCCAAGAUCAACUUCAGAUAUUCUUUUAUUGAAGUUCUGAACUUGAUAAGGCCAAACUUUGGACAUUUUUGCUUGAACUUGUGGUCUUGGCAAGACUUCAGAUAUAUACUAUGGCUUGUCAAGAUUAACUUCAUAUAUUAUUGACUGAAAUUGUAGACUUGACAAGGCCCGACUUUGGAUAUAGUUUUUAUUGAAAUUGUAACCUUGCUAAGACUUCAGAUAUGUAAUGGCUUGCCAGCCAACUUCAGACAUAUUUCAUUGAUGUUUUGACCUUGACAAGGCCUAACUUCGAGCAAUCUUUUACAAAAGUUAUGGCCUUGACAAGACCAACUUCAGACUUUCUUUUUCUGAAAUUGAUUGCCUUGUUUGUUUUCUUGUAAUUUUUAUAAUUAUCCCCAAUAAUUUGUUUUAACAUAUCAAAUAACAAAAAAUUAAAAAUAUUUUGACAAUUUUUCUCAUAAAUCAAUACAUGUACUUCAAAUCAACCCAAUUAUUAGAUGAAUUGAUUUAAUAUAAGUGAGUCAUUAACACGUCCAAUCAUAAAUAACAUAGACAAGUUAUAUUUUCGUGAACUAAUUUUACUAUCUUAUAGAUUAGAGUUAGAAAUAAAAGGAAUGUGAGUUUGUUGUUAGUAUUACCGAAUAGAGAAUAGCAAUGAGACGAAUAUCUGGAUAUAUCAUCCAAGCAUUUGGAUUUCUCUCCACCAAAAGGGAUAUCAAUGCAGAUAUGAUGGUCACAAAGAAGCUAUACAAACACACUAUAAUCAUCUCUUCUUGGUAUAUCUUAAGAAUUGAAGCCUAAAAAAACCAAAAAUAAAUUAAUAAAUAAUCGUAGUCAAUUAAUCACACAUACCCAAAAGUCAUCGAAAGUCAUUUUCUGAUGUUUCAUUGACAGAAAAUACAUUUUCAAAAAUAAAGAGUUACUUUUGUCAUACCAAACACAUUCAAGUGUUUAGGCACUAAUUGAGUAUGUGAGUGUGUUUGGCACCAUGUUCAAUAUUUUUCGAAAAAUGACUUUAAAAAAAAUCAGUGAUCAAAAGUCAUUUUCUGGUGUUUCGUUUGUAGAAAACACAUUUUUAGAAGUACCAAACAAUCAAAUCUGACCUGAAUAAUGUACCAUAGUGAAGCAGACAUAGACUCACAAGCAAGUAUAACUCCUCCAAGAAUCCAAUUUUGUUGAGAUGAGAAAGUAGAAGUCAAGUGUUGGUUAAUGAUUGGAGGGCCCUUAUAAAAUGUCAAAACAAAUGCACCUCCAAUUAAAACAAAAGUGCCAAAGACUUUGGCAUAGCUACUCCAACUUUUCCAAUUGAUCACUUCCAUCCUAUCAAGGGGCAAUCAACAUAUCUAAAUCACUUACUCGCAUCAAAUAUUUAUAAUGAAACUUUACUAUGAUUUAAAAUUAUAAAAUUAAAAUAGAGAGAGUAACAAUAUAAUUUAACAUGAAAGUGAAAGAUCAUUUCCUCAAAUGGUUGAUUGGUUUUGUUUAAUCCUUUAUAAAUUUACUUCUAAUUUGAUGUCAUUUUUAUAAAAAAUCUUCAUUCACAUAUAAAAAAAAUAUGAAAAUAACAACACACAAAAAAAUCUGAAAAAGAUCAUUUUUUUCCAUUCAACAUGAUGAAUGAAGAGAUCAUUUCCUAUACAUAAAAUUUUUAUUUAUCACAUUUGUUAGAAAAAAAUAACUAAAAAGACAAGGAAUUACUAAAUUUGACAAAGCCAAGAGAAUAUAUAAAUAUAUAGGUACCUGAAAGUAAUGGCAAGGAUGAAAGUAAAUCCUGGAAUAAGAUUGAGCAUUGCUGUGGCAAGUGUUGGAGAGCUAUAACUUAUACCAACAUAAUCACAUAUUUGCCCAAAAUACCUAAGUAAACACAUCAAACAAGAAUUCUUCCAUAAGAAAAUUAAUUCCUCUGUCCUAAUUUAUGUAUUGUAUAGUUUGACUCAUCACGUAAUCUAACAUAGAAUUUUAAAACUUGUAAUCUGAAAUAAGUCAUGAAUAUUUAUGUUACUAUAAAUUAUUUUAUUAAGGAUAAAAUGAGCGUUCUAAAGUUAAACUGUAGCAGAAGUGUAUUCUUCUUUUUGGGAUUGAUGAUUAAAAAAGAAAAUAAGUCGUAUAAAAGCAGUACAAAAAUUUGAACUUAAAUAGAGUUCUUUGAUGUGUCAGUAAAGAAACUCUUACUAACAAGGGCUUUAGUGAAAUAGUAAGUACUCCUUCAUCUUUUAACUAGAGGUCUCGAUUUCGAGUUCCUCUGGGUAUGAAGUCGUCUUUGUUAGAAAACACUUUACCCCUCAAUGUGAGAUUUUUCGGCCCGAAUCCAAAUUUAAUCAAGACUCUAAUAUAAAAUAUGAAGCACCGAAUGGAAAACUGGAAAAAAAAAAACUUUGGUACUAAUUUAAUAAUAUAAAAUAGAGUACUAAUUACCCGAUUAAAGCAAGCAACAAGAUUCUCCAAAACACCGAGAAGGUCAAUGGACGGCGCCGUGAUCUACAAAUUAACAGGAGUAAAAUAAUAAAUUUAUUAUAUUAAUCAUUAUUAUUUUUAAUAGAUGUAUUAAAUGAAAAUUUGACAAUUAAAUAAAAACAAAGGAAAUAUUUUUAUUGUUAAAUAUUCUCUUAAUAUGUACUAUAAAUAAUUUAUCAACAACUUAAUAAGAUACCUUUUUAAAAUUCAAAAUUCUAACUCACCUUUUAAGUAAAAUGAAGAUAAGACGAUAAAUUAUCAUCAGUAUUUACAACUACUUCUGAUUUAUAUACAUUACUAAAAGAUUGAAUUCCAAACGAUUAGAUCAAACCUCGACAAGAAGGGGCCGAAGACUUGAUAGGUAUAGUGACUUAGAUUCCAUGAAGUAUCGUCAGACUUACCACUAGUUGUGUAGGAACACUUAACAAAGAUACCUUUUACUCCAAACACCAAUUGAUAGAUCAAGAAUUCAAGUAAUUUCAUGAAAUAAAUAAGGAAACACAUCAAUUGAGAAGAGUAAUGAGAUGAAAGAAGAAGAAGAACCUUGUUAUAAAGAUGAAGAUGGAAGGAGGGAAAAGGAUGAGAGUAGCAAUAGCAUUUGAGUAGACAACAAUAAUGAAGCUGCUAAGUCCUUUAGACAUGGCUAUUUUGCUAAUUAUCAUACUUAUAACUAUGGCUAUUAUUGCAAAAAUCAUUCCUACACUAGGCAUCAACAUCUCCUUCCAUGAUGAUCCUUUCAUUUUUCUUAAUUUGUUGGAGAUGAUUUAGCAAGAUUUUUUUCCCUUUUUUUUUUCCCUUUUUGUGUAUUCUUUUAUAAUCAAGAUAUAUAUUGCUUUAAUUAAUUAUUUUAGCCCCACAUUGAUAGAACCUUUUUUAUUUAUUUAUUGUCAAGUUGAAGUUUGACUAUUGGAAAUACUAAUUGUUUGACAAGUAAUUUUAAGUGAAAUACUAAUGUUUUUCACAAAAAAUAAAACUAUCAAGUGAAAUUUAUAUUAGAAACAGUUAGAGUGGUAUUAUAUCUCUACUUUCCCUUAUCUCAUGUAGUUAGAAUUCUAUAUAUACCCAUGUAUAUGUUAUGUAAAAGCAAAUUGAUCAAUAAUAUACAUCAGUUCAUAUAGUUUUAUAUGGUAUCAGAGUUAAGUUCAUCCCCGUUUGGGCUUCCGAUCCACGUUCCAGUUGGACUUAGGUGUGAAGGAAGUGUUAGAGUGGGUAAAAAUCUCAUAUUGAUUGAAAAAUGGACUGGUGGUCUCUUUAUAUGAACUUGAGCAAUCCUCCCCUCAUAAAUUAGUUUUUUAAGGUUGAGUUAGGUCUAAGAUCCAUCUUUAUAGAAACAACUACUUAUAUUUAUUUUUUCCAAUUUCCACUUCAAGUACUAUUUUUCUUCAUUUUAAUCAAAUAUUAUUCAAGGAGUUGGAUAAAACUAUAUAAUAGAGGGACAAAAAUAAAAGAAAAUAUUAUUGGUGGGACAGUUGAGUAUUUUAUAUAUUCAUUGCACCAUAAAAUAAAUUAAUAUAAUUAAAUAAGGUUGUUGACUUUAAGGCCUUAAUCAUUGACGAGGAAGAAAAUUAUUGAACUAAAUGUGUCAAAAAUGAUUGUUUUUUUUAUAUGAUAUAUUUAUAUAAAGAACGAGAAAGGAAACAAGAUUCAGUCGGUGCUUAAUUAAGAAUUUUUUUUUAAUAUGUUAUAUUUAUAUAGUGUAUGUAUCAAAAAUUAUUGUUUUUCCUAAUUUGAUAUUAGCACAUAUACUCAUAUAAUAUCUCAUUCAUUGUAACUAUAAACAAUAAUAACAUAUCCAAUUACUGUAAUCAUUUAAAUAAAAUUGAAGAGAAUGAUAUGUACGCAUUCACUUAUCAGUUAUCCUAUUCCUUAAAAAUAAAAAUAAAUACGAUUUAAAAGAAAAACAAAACACUCAUGCAUUAUUAUCACUUUGCCUAUGUAGUAAAGAUACUCUUGUAGAAUCCUUGCUUAUGUCUUUAACACACAUUUCCUCUUCAGCUUUUCCCCACAUCACACAAUAGAAACCCAAAGCUAUGAUCAUUCCACCAAUUAUACUGCAAAAAAAUCAAAAAAAAUCAUAGAGAAAUUAGCCAUUAACUUAUAAUUAAUUAAAGAUUAAAAGAAAGAAUCUUGAAAUUAUUAAUGGAGUAAUUAAUUUAAUUACUAACUUUCCAACAUGAAGAACAUCACCAAGAAAAAUGACCCCCAUUAUGACUGCAGCUAUCAUUCCAAGUGGCUUUAUCAUUACAACAAAAACAGGUCCUUUCUUCUUCAAUGCCCAAAUAAAAACUAGACUUCUAAGGACAAUCAUCAAAAUUGCCUGCAAAUAAAAGGAAAAAAACGUAAGAAACUUACCUAAAUCCCACUAGUUAGGAGGUAAUUAAUAUUUAGAUAUACUCUAGUUUGCAAUAUUAUGUAUCUUAUCAGAUUUUGGUGCGUCCAGAUACAUGUAUCUCGAGAAUCAAGAUACAUGAGAUCAAAAUUAGAUGUAAUUUGUUCUAGAUACAUUAUAUCCAAGUAGAUUCACAUGUAUCUGGAAUACAUAACAAAUCUCACUCGCUUCCCUCACCUCUCUCCCAUCUCGCUCGCCUCUCUCCCUAUUUUAGUGCAUCUGGUAGCAAAAUUAUAUGUAUCUAAGUGUAUAUUUCUUAAUAUAUGGUAUGAAAUUCUUAAUUAGUGGUAAGAUAUGUAACAUUUUGAAAGUAUAGGUAAUAAUAAUACUACCUUCGUCCAAUCCUAUUUUCAUGUUGCGCUUUUCAAAAGUUAACUUGAUUAAUUUUCAAAGUUAAAUUAGAUUACAUUAAUUCAAUAUUUUAAACAAAAAACUUAGAUAUUCAAAAACUAUACGAAAAGUACUAUAAAUUGCAAUUUAUUGCAUAUCAAUAUGAUGAAAAAAAUACCUCGUAAAAUGUUAGUCAAAAUUUUUAUAGUUUGACUCUAAAAAAGGAAACCAUGACAAUUAAAAGUGGACGGAGAAAGUAAUAAUAGUGUAUAUAUGGUAAUGAAGUAUGUCUAAUUAAUAGAAAGAAAAAAAAGAAGUAUGUCUAAUUAUAGUUUUUCCAAAAAAGUAUGCUUAGUGGUUAACUGUGUCAGCUUUUACCUUGCUGACAAGAGUUCGAUUCCUUACCUUGUAAUUCCCUCUAUCAUUUCCUUUUUCCCAACCCUGAUGUUAUUUUAACACUCGAUAUUUAUAUAUCUAUGUUAAAUUAACUAUAUUAAUAAAUAUCAAACACGAAUAAAUUAAAAUUCUUUCGAUAUAUUAUUGUAUACUUACAGCAUAACAAACAGUAAUCAACUCCAAAUCUGGCUUAAGUCUCCAAGAACUCAAAUUUUGUUCAGCAAUUAAUCCAACCACACCUGAAAUAAUUGUUACUAAGCCACAAGUAACAGUAGUCACCACAAAUUCUUCUGGAUAAUCAUUUAUAGUCCAUGCCUGAUCAUACGAUAAAUAAUAUAAUUUCAGCGCGAAUACUUUUAUUAACUUAAUUAUAUUUUCAACGAAUACUAUAUAUAUACCUGGACUAUGUACAAGAUUGCAAGUAGCAAAUUAGCAGUAGCAAGGAGAAAUCCUCCAAGGAUCCAAUUUGAUUUUGUACUGAUGUGAAGUUGAUGAAAAUUAUUGGAGGGUGUAAUUGAUUGAUUUGAAAAUAUUGGAGGGCCUCUAUAAAAAGUCAUAAGCAGUGCCCCAAGUAUUAAUAUUGUUGUCCCAAUAAACUUUGCCAGACUGCUUUUCAACCUUAAUCCCAACUUUUCCAUCCUGUCAUAAAGUCAAAGCAAUAUUUGACAAAUAUAUCGUCAUAAAAGAAUAUAUACAAAAAGAAUACGUUAGAGAAUUUUCCUUUUUAAUUACUUGCAUUGACAAAUAUAUAUAUAUAUAUAUAUAUAUAUUGUUCAAACAUGAAAAUAACUUGAUUUUAGGGUAACUUACCGAAAUUUUAUUAGUUGAUGAGCUAAUUAUUUAGAUAUACGUUAAUUUGCAAUAUUACGAAUUUUAUCAAUUUUUUGUGUGUACAGAUAUGUUCAGAUACAUAUAUCUCAAUCAAGAUACACGAGUCAAAAUUAUGUGUAACUUGUUCUAGAUACACUAUAUCUAAGUGGAUUUGCAUGUAUCUAUGUUACAUAGACAAAUCUCACUCAUCUCUCUUGCCUCCCUCCCAUCUCGCUAACCACUCUCUUAUCCUGCUCACAUAAUUGGUAUUUCAGAUACAUGUGAAUCACACUAGAUACAUAUGUUUGGUGUCCUAGAUACAUGUAUCUGGAUACAUAGACAAAUUUUGCUCGCCUACCUCCUGUUUAAUUUUUGCUAGUCUCUAUCCCUAUUUCAGUGUAUAUGGUAGCAAAAAAUAUGUAUCUAUCUAGCUUGAAAUCUCGUAUGAAUUGAAAAAGAAAAUCAAAUUAAUAAAAUUAUGCUAAUAAUAUGUGUAACUUACCCUGCAAUUACAGCAAUUAGGAAAGUAAAAGCUGGAACAACAUCUGUCAUUGCUGAGGCCAAAAUUGGAUUGCUAUACCCUAUCCCAAAGCACAACAAUAUUUGUACAGAGCAGCUUUUUAUUUGUGUCACAAAAAAGAAAAAUAAAAACAAUAUUAAAGCCAUAAUUAAAGUCAUAAUAACCAACAACAACAUGAACAAAAGAAAUUUAAAAAAAAAUAAUCAAUUUCAUGAUCAAGUACCUGAGGAAGGCAAGAAGAAUCAUCCUAGAGAAUAUAGAAAAAUUGAGCUUUCUGCAAGGCCUCAUUCUGUUGGACAAAAAUGGCAUUAGAAUAAAGAAAUCAAAAUAAAUUCAGAAGCGAAGUCAGAAUUUUAAAUUUAUAUUGAUUUUCUGGAUUCUAAUCUUGUUUAAGUAAUUGAAUUCUAAAAGAACAUAUCAAUGAAUUAAGACAAAUACAUCAUUUGAAUAAAAAACUACUGAAUUCGAUUAUGUAGACAUUAUUCUGAUCUUCAAAUAUUUUCAAAUUUUCAAAAAUUGAUCAGUAGAACUUCCCCUCUCGAAACUUAAAUAUUUUUUUUAAAAAAAAAAAAUGCAUGUCCAAACACAACUUGAAAUUUAAAUUUCAAAAUCAAAACUCGAUUUUUCAAAUUUCAGGUUUCAACUUCAAAAUCUAUCGCAAUCAAAUCAAAUCAUAAUAGAUUGUGGAGAAACUUAUAAUUACCUAUGAUAGAUGAAGGUAGAAGGUACAAGAAAGAACAAGGCCAAGGCAUUGGCAUAGAAAAUGAAGACAAAAUUGCUCAUUCCUCUAGUAGUAGCUGCUUUAUUGAGUGUGUUUAAACCAACUUCUAUGCAUUCUAAUAUAAUCAACAUUGUUAUUAUCACCACCCUUGAGCUCCACAUUUUUUCCUCAACUAAAAAAACUUGUACAAAAUGAUUAAUUACUUGGAAAGACACCCAAUAUAUAUAGCUUCUAAGAGAAUCAUAUUGUGUGAAUCUAACCUCCCACCUACCCCACAAUACAGGGGCAAUUUUGUCCAAAAUUUGUGUUUACAUAAUAAUAAAAUAUUUAGUGGAAUCUCACAAAUCAUAUUCAACUUUGCGCGCCUCAAGGGAAAUAUUUUGUAUGUAUAUUAAAAAUAUCUAAAUAUUUAAUUGUAACAGAAUUUUAAGAUUAGAUCAAUUUACGAAUACUUAUUAAUUUCAAAUUCUAGAUCAGAUCUGUAAUACUGAUGCUCUACCACUCAAUAGAACACACUUGUGAAAAUUUAAGUUUGAACUAUUGAGUUAUUUUUUAAAAUAAAAUAUGCACAUUGCCUAUCUCAUAUUUUUAUUUGAUGAUAUUUAAUUAGAUGAUAUGGAGUUUACGGAAGAAAAAAAAAUUGACGCAUUUUAAAAGUAAUCGUAAAAUUAUCAUAUUAAAUUAACAUGUAAGAACAUUUUAUUAAAAUAAAACUAAAAAUAUAAAGUUAAAAGAGUUUUUGAAUAUAUAUAGUAUGAUAAUUGUCGUAUGUAUGCAGUGACGGAGCCACAUGUAUUUGAGGAGUAUCAAUUGAUAUUUUUUCAUCGGAAAAUUUUGUUGAGUAUGUGUACGUAGCUAGGUAAAAAUAUUAUAUAUAUAUAUAUAUUAGCUUCUUCGUGAAUUUAUUUUAUUUUAAUUAUUUUUAGUGAAAAUUAUGACUCCGUCGAUGACCCUGUUGUUGUUCUUUCUAAAAAAAAUGGGAAUACAAAAAAGAAAUUGAAGCAGGAGAUUACAAGAUGAGAAACUGAAACUUCAUUAACAAAAAUCAAAAUUCAAAUACUUAAUCAAUUGAGUUACUAAAAUUCUCUCGUAUAUAUAUAUAUAAUUCUAUAUGACUGUAUCUGAUACCAUAUCCCACUAAAUAAAAGACCGGGAUAAAAUUCGAUAUCAUUGUUUGCCUUUUGCCCUAUCAAAAGUUAUUUAAAUCAUCCUCAUUAUUUUUUAAAAAAUAAUAUAAGCCCUUCCUAAUACCACGCACUAAACGGGAUUUAAUGUCACAUCGAAGAAUUAGUCUUUUUGUUUAUUCUAAUUAAAAAAAAAGAAAAUUGUAUAUAAUAGAAAAUUAUUAAUUCAAAUUAAAUGCUAUAAAUAUAGUUUGAUUUAAUUGUACUCCAUAGUAAACUGUUGUUAUUUCACAUCUCUCUUGGUGAAUCUCGCUCGCCACUCUCGUUCUCUCCCUCGCCUCUCCCGCUUUUUAUACAAACGCAAAUGUAUAAAAUGUGUUUGUGUUUGUAUAAAGCGAGAGAAAAUUGUAUAUAUACAUAUAUUUCCGUUCCCCUCUCUCCCCUCUCCCAGAUCUCGCUCGCCAGUCUCUCCCUCACCUCUCUCGCUUAUACAAACAGAAAUGUAUAAAUUGUGUUUCUGUUUGUAUAAAGCGAGAGAAAAUUAUAUAUACACAUGCAAAUACAUAUAUCUUCGUCCUAAACCUUUAUCAAUUAAAUCAAAAUUCAGAUACUUAAUCAAUUGAGUUACUAAAAUUCCCCGUAUAUACGGCUGUAUCUAAUAUCAUAUCCCACUAAAUAAAAAACCUGCAUAAAAUUCGAUAUCAUUGUUUGCCUUUUUCCCUUUCAAAAGUUGUUUAAAGCAUCCUCAUUAAUUUUUUAAAAUAAUUUAACCCCUUCCUAAUACCACGCACUAAUCGGGAUUUAAUGUCAUAUCGAAGAAUUAGUCGUUUGUUUAUUCUAAUUAAAAAAAAACUUUAGUAGGUUGGCUAAAUUAUUUUUUUAUGGUAUAUUGAAAUGCAUUGCAUGUGUGAGAAUAUCACUAAAAUAAAAUAUUGGCUUGUUCAGUCAAAUUAAGGUAUCGGAUAUCAAUUAUAAUAAUAUGUUCAGAACGUGUAAUUAUUUUUAUGACCUAAUCUAUUUAUAAAUAAAAAGAUAAUGGAUUAAAACCUACUUAAAUUAGUACAAUAUUAUUUUUUUAUUAAUUUCAUAUUUUAAGUGUGUGUGUGUAUAUAUAUAUAUAUAUAUAUUACUUCAUUGAAUUAUAAUUUUCAAGUUUAUUUAAAAUAUUGGCUUGUUCAGUCAAAAUUGCUCAUUCCUCUAGUAAUACCAUAUUUGAGGCAUGAAAAGUGACCAAGUCUUUUCUAACAUAUCCUCAUCAAUCAUUCGUAGAUUAUAGAUCAGUUUAGAACGCAUAUUAACCUAAUUUUAAAAUAAAUUAAAUUGGACGGAUCAAUAUGAAUUGAGUUAAUAAAAUAAGUGGAUCAUCAACCUACUCAAAUCUAAAAAAAUUGAGUGAAUCAUAAUUUUACGAACUGAUUUUAUCACCCCCUAAUUGAUGGUUAUUUUCAAAUAGAGUAGCCAUAAGAAUAAAUUUGCAAGUAUAAGAUCAUAUAAAAUUAUAAUAUACAUACAUAUAAAAGAAUUAUGUAUAUAAUACCUAACUUAUUGAAGUCCCUCACAUAUUAAAAAAACUUUUACCUAAUACUUUUUGAAUUUUCUUGUUAAAAUUUUCGAACUCCAACACUAAACAAGGGCACGAUAAUGAAAAGGAGAUUAUACUAGUUGUUGAGAGUAUACUAAGAAAUACUUUAAGUGUAAGAGUAAUUAAAAAACAUAUAAUAAAUUCUAUCACGAAUAUAGUCAAUUUUUCCGCAUCUCAACAACAUAAAAAAUUUCUAUAGAUAAAUCAAAAUACAUCACUUUUUCAGAUUUUGAAAUUUAAAUAAGUUUUUUUACUUUAUAUAUAUAUAUAUAUAAUAUCUUGAAUUAUAAAUAAUUAGAGUAAUUUAUAGUAGCACUUUUUAGAUAAUUUUCAAAUAUGUAAAAUUUUAUUUUUAAAAAAAUUAAAGAUUUCAUGCCUGAAUUGACUGUAAAAAUUAAACCAUUUGACUUUCGAAAUUCAAACAAUACCACAUAAAUUAAAAGAUAAAGAAAACAUUAAACUAUGUUAAGAAAAAUCUUUUUUUAAAAAUAGUAGCUAUAAGAAGCAUGGAUUCUUCUAUAGUAAAAUAAAAAUAGACUUAAGAGCCUGUUUGGAUUGGCUUAAAAGUUGAUCAAAAUUAUUUUUGAGUCAUUUUAGUUUUUGAGAGUGUUUGACAAAGUUAAAAAUAACUUAAAAUAAAGUUUAAAAUGACUUUAAAAAAAGUUUAAAAUAGAUAUUCUCCCACUUUUCUUUUUUUUACUUAAAAGUUACUAAAAAUUUAAUUUUUGCAAAAAUUACUUUUAAAUUAUUUUUUUAAAAAAAAUAUAAGCCAAACGGACUAUUAUCAAGUUGUGUUUUCCUUUUUAUGAAUGACAACAUCACAUAGGUAAGUAGAAUUUAAUUAACUUAAUCAUUAAUUAGAAAACUAAUUCUAACCCGUAGAUAUCGUAUCACCCACAAAAACUCAUAACCAAAUUGUUAUUUGUGGUUGUUUUUGUUUCAAAACAUCUAUAAUUCCGUUCUAAUUCUAUAUUUAUAACCAAAUCCUACCAAUAGUCUGAACAACACUCUACUAGUAAAUAAGAAUACUCAAAUUCUUAAAACUUUUCUUUCAUUUAAUUAUUUGUUAUAAUCAUUAUGGGCAAAGUCAAGAUCGGAAUCAAUGGUGAUUUUUUAUUUCAUAUUGUUAUCCAUAUUUGUUAAUUUCAAUAUUAUUAUUUUUUAAAAAAAUUGUUUUGUUUGGUAUACGUAGGUUUUGGAAGAAUUGGUAGAUUAGUGGCUAGAGUGGCAUUGCAGAGUGAUGAUAUUGAACUUGUUGCUGUCAAUGACCCCUUCAUCACCACUGAAUACAUGGUUACUCCAUUUUCCUUUUUAACUCUAUUGUUUUUAUAAUUAUCUGGUGUUCGAAAUUUACUGAUCUGACUAAUACUUUAUAUUGAUUCAUUAUUCUUCGUAUUAAUUGCAAAGUUUAGUUGUCAUGACUAGACAAUGUUCCAUAUUUAUCACCUAGAUCUAGAGUGUCGGAGGUAGACUCAAUUAAACCCCUUAUUUUCAACAUAAACCAGAGAUAUAUAUGUCUGAAAAGUAGUAUAAAAAUCAUGAAAAGUAAUAUAAAUAUCAAAUUUUGAGAUAUAUUUUAAAAUAACUUACAAAUUUGAAUCCAUGACGUUUAAAUAUUGGGUCUGCCUCUAGUGUGAUUUGUACACCCUUUCCUAGCAAUGAAUGUUCCAUAUUCUUGGAUCCGUACCCAAGAGAAUCAUGAAUUUUAUAUCACGUUUAAAGUAUUACUGUAUUUAGUUUGGAAAUGAUCUCUUAUAACCACUUACAAAUUGAAUUUUAAAAAAUGAUCUUUAUUGAUUAGUCGCGUCAAGUGUGAUAUAUAUAGUUCCUUUAUUGAUAGAUCUCAUAGUUUCAUGUGCAAGAGUUUUGUUUGCAGACUUAAACGUAUACUAUUAUAUAGCAAAUUUCAUAUUUUUCAUUCGAUAAGAGAUUGUGGAUCUAUUCUUAGUAAGGACAACUUGAUUGCGAUUAAAUGCCUGAUUUUCAAGCUGAUAUAUAUAUAUCCUGUGCUCGUUGUAAUGUACAUUUGAGUCUGAUUUGAAUUUCGCGUUUUAUAGACCUAUAUGUUCAAAUAUGAUACCGUUCAUGGCCAAUGGAAGAAACACGAGCUUAAAGUUAAGGAUGAAAAAACUCUUCUCUUUGGCGAUAAACCUGUCAAAGUAUUUGGUGCUAGGUAAAUAAAUGCAUUUCCAACAUUUGAACAUUGCAUUACAAUUGAGUUUUUCUUCUUACCUUUAUUGGUGUAACAAACAGAAACCCCGAAGAAAUUCCAUGGGGUGAGGCUGGAGCAGACUACGUCGUUGAGUCCACUGGUGUUUUCACUGAUAAAGACAAAGCUGCAGCUCACUUGAAGGUAUUCAUAGUUCACUUUCAUAUGUUAUACACUGAUAGUUUAAAAGAACUUUUUAUGCUAACGCGUAUAAUUAUGAUGUUCCAUCUAUUUUUUUUCGUUAGGGUGGUGCAAAGAGAGUUGUUAUUUCAGCCCCUAGCAAGGACGCGCCCAUGUUUGUUAUGGGUGUAAAUGAGAAGGAAUACAAAGCAGAUAUUAACAUUGUGUCUAACGCUAGUUGCACUACUAACUGUCUUGCUCCAUUGGCUAAGGUUGUUUUCUUAGUCUGUUUGGUAUCUAAUCUCGUCAUUUUAGUUGAAAUCCAACUUUGAUCGUAUUCAAUUUGAAUCAUCACAGGUUAUUAAUGACAAAUUUGGUAUCGUUGAGGGUCUUAUGACCACGGUCCAUUCUAUUACUGGUAAGCUAAGGUUCUAGUUACUGAUGUUCCUAGUUAUGUAUCUUCUGUUUUAACUUUGUUGAUCGCGAAUUUGUUCUGUAUACAUUAUAUAGCAACACAAAAGACAGUUGAUGGUCCUUCGAUGAAGGACUGGAGAGGUGGACGUGCUGCUGCUCAUAACAUCAUCCCUAGUAGUACCGGAGCUGCCAAGGUAGUACUAACCAUGUUAUACCCAAAUCUAUUUUUGUAUUUUUCAUAUGGUCUGUAGACUGUAAGGCAAUCUAAGCUUCAAAAGGCGUAGCAUAAUGUACUCUGUUUUCCAGAGGAAAUUGUGUAGUUACUAUACUUUUUACAUUUGAUAAUGCAGGCUGUUGGCAAAGUUCUACCAGCAUUGAAUGGGAAGUUAACUGGUAUGGCUUUUCGUGUUCCAACUGUUGAUGUUUCAGUGGUUGAUCUAACCGCGAGAAUUCAGAAAUCAGCUACCUAUGAUGAGAUCAAAGCAGCUCUCAAGUACAAAUACUUUUGAGAUUUCGCUUAUUGAAGAAAUUAUAAGUUAGAUUUACUUUUUGUGAACAGUUUUUAUCUUUGUACAGGGCUGAGUCUGAGGGAAACAUGAAGGGAAUUCUUGGCUACACCGAAGAUGAUGUAGUUUCAUCUGAUUUCAUCGGUGAUUGCAGGUGAGAAUUGUGCUUGACAUCUAAUAGAUCUAGGCUAGACACAACGGGUUCAAUUGAAUUCACCGUGUCUAGCUCUAGCUAGGAUAAAGAGCAGAACUCAUCACUGACUCUAAAUUCUAGAUUCGUCACUGUUUAACAUUUUGACAUGUUGCUUGUGUUAGGUCAAGCAUCUUUGAUGCCAAGGCUGGUAUUGCUCUCAAUGGGAACUUUGUUAAGGUUGUCUCGUGGUAUGACAACGAAUGGGGAUACAGGUAAAGGUUUUAUCGGAUUUUUUACCUAUUAUUGGAGUAGAAAAUAUUUGUUUGUGAUCAAAGAUGGAUAUUACUUUCUGCUCGAACUAUCUACACAUGAAACACAAAUCUAAAAUGUAUAUAAGAUUACUCAUUUUGAAUACUGACUCUAGCUUUUGAAUUCGCCUCUGUUUCAGCUACUAGCAUUAGAAUAUCGCUCUAACAACAUAAUAUACAUUUUUUGUUGUUGCAGUAACCGUGUUAUCGACUUGAUUCGUCACAUGUCAACUGUUGUAUAAACAGUUAAUAUUUCUAUGAAUGGUUAGAGUUCAGCAAAGAAGCAUUGAAGAAGAUAUGGAAUAAUAGAGAAGUAGAGAUCAGUGCAUUAUUUCCCUUUUGUUAUUUUUGAAGUUUUAUUAGAAAGCUUCUGAGAAUUUUCCAUGAGGAUUUUUUUUUUAAUAUUAUAGUUCAGUAGGAACAAUUAAUAAGACGAAAUGAGUGAAUUCUGCUCAUAUAUUUUUUUGUUAGAAAGGUGCAAUUUUGGUACGCUAAGAUAUAUUCUUUUGUGUAAAUCGAAUUUUGAAUUGACUAUUUCUCAUUUUCAUCUUCAUUACGAGCACUCUGUCCAACACAUCUAACCAACUCGCAUUGUUCACCGGCUCAGCCGAAUGGGAACUUUGUUAAGUUUUUUCAUAUAACAUUAUACAAAAUUUGAUACAUCUUUUUCAAUGUGGGCUCAUCACCAGAUACAGUUUGCAUAUCUUCAUACAAAAUGAUACAACUUUUAUACAAUUCUCAUAUUACAUUGUACAACUUUUAUACAACUCUGUUGUAAAUUGAUACAUCUUCAAACGGGUAAACACGUAUAGUUUGUUUGUCAUACUUUAUUCAAUUUUCAUAUACUUACAUAUAAUUAUGCAAGUUGUAUGCAUUUCAUAUGUCAUGUGUUCUGCUUUUUCUUCGAGUUUCAAUUAAUCUGAAAUUCUAGCGUUAGCUAAUUUUGAUAUACGUUUCAUACUAAAUCGAUAUGAAUUUGAUACGUCUUGUAACAUUUGGUUGAUUGGCAGAUGCAGUUUGCAUGUCUUCAUACAAACAUAAUACAAUUUUUAUAUAUUUUAUCAUAUAAUUUACAUACAAUUGUGUAAGUUAUAUGUAUUUUGUAUAUACAAAUUAUAUACAAUGAAUAGAUUCUAAUUUCUCAUUUCCAAAAAUUACAGUUUGUUCAUUUUCUUUUCAUAUGUCAUUCCGAUACCACAUAAUAUUCUUCUAUUUACCAUAUCUAUAAAUGUUUUUGCUAGGUGGUUCUGAGUAAUGAGAAAGUAUUAAAAUCAUGGUGAAGCUUAUUCUGAUUUUCUUUUUGAAAAAAUAAAUAAAUGAAAAGGACAUUAAGCAAUAAGAGACCUGGUUUUAUUCAUAACUCAAUAAUAAUAACCAUUAGUAUUCAAAGAUAUGAUCGAAAAAUAAGGAGUAACUACGUAAUUAGUGUGAUACACUCUAGAUAUAUGUAUCUGCUGUGAUUCACAUAUAUCUGAGAUACUAGAUACAUAGGAUAGUGGUGAGCCAGAUGGGAGGGAGGCGACCAAGAUUUAUUAUGUAUCCUAAAUACAUGUGAAUCCACUUUGAUAUAAUGUCUCUAGAACAAAUUACACUUAAUUUUGACCUCAUGUCCCGAGAAACAUAUAUCUAGACGUAGUUACACGUAUCUGGAUGCACCAAAAUCUAAUAAAAUAUAUAAUAUUACAAUCUAAAGUCUAUCUAAAUAAUUAGCUCCUAAACUAAUAAGAUAUAUAUAAGUUUCCUAAAAUAAAAUAUAAUUAAAAUAGCCAAACUCAAAAAUAGGAACCAAAUUUAAUGGGCCAAUUUUAAGAGGUAUAGUUUCAUUUCAAGUGGUCUAAAUUUUGGAAUAACUAGGCACUACCACCAAGUACCAACUAAUUACGAUUCUUUUAACACAUAUCACCUAAUCAUGAUAAAAACUUAUUUAUACUCGAUGUUACAUUAUCAUGAUAAAUACAUGACAUUUGUUUUUUAUCUACACAUUAGUCACUUACUCAUAGUUAAAUAAUUUACAUUCUUAUUUAGUAUUUAUUUUUAAUCGCUAAGGUUAAAUUGUAUAACUAGAUGCAUAUAAAUGCUCGGUACAGAUAAAUAUUUAUUCUUCACCAUGUGAUUAUAAGGUACUUAUGAUCUUAUAUUUAUUAAAUCUUAUAAAUAUCGGAUACGACUUGUUUGGUUGGUUUGUUAGUUUUCAAUUUCAAAAUCGUAAUAUAUUUAUUAACCAAAAUAAAAAACAUUCUGCGUAACUGAAAAGUCGGUAUUCCUUAUUUAAAAAGAAAUUUACUUUAUAAUUUUGAAUGUGAAAAGGUAAAAGUACCUUUGAAGAUCCACCAGAAAUAAUUACAUGGUUAAGUUAAGAAGAAAAAAAUAGGGACAUGUAAAACUCCACCAACUUGCUACUCCAUUCUUACGUAAAAAGUAUUUUUCCCUUCCCAUAUUUAUUAUUUAUAUAUAUGCUUUAAAAAAAAUAUUACUAAGUUAGUUCAACUUUUCUUCUUUAGGACUAACAAAAGAAAUUUUUUGUAAAUAAUUGUUAUCUCUAUUUAUCUACACCAAAAAUAAUAAUAGUAAUAAUGUAUUCAGUGUAGUCUCUAACAAAGUGAGGUCUAGGGAUGAUGACAGAGUCAAGAUUUUCAAUAAGGGAGUUCGAAAUAUAAAAAGUAAGCAGACGCAGAGGUCAAAGGGAGUCCAAUAUCUACUAUAUAUACGUAAGAUUUAUUUAAGCAUACAUAAAUAGUGUAAUUUUCCGCUGAAGAGGAUCUUGAUGAACUCCCUUGGCCGUUAGCUCCACCCCUGUAUAGGGAUGAUUAUAGAGUGUUCACACAUAUAUCUUAUCUCUACCAUAAAAGAUAAAAAGAUUGUUUUCGAUAAAUAGAUCGAUUAUAAUAGUUGGGGUAGGAGGGGGGGGGGGGGGGUANNNNNNNNNNNNNNNNNNNNNNNNNNNNNNNNNNNNNNNNNNNNNNNNNNNNNNNNNNNNNNNNNNNNNNNNNNNNNNNNNNNNNNNNNNNNNNNNNNNNNNNNNNNNNNNNNNNNNNNNNNNNNNNNNNNNNNNAAAAAUGGGGGGAGGGGGGGGGGGGGGGGGAUACAUGAGAGAAGAUCCACCACCCUUUUUGGAGGGGUCCUUGUUAAGCAUAUAAGCAAAAGGAGAGACAGAGAGAGACUAGUCGAAGUCAUCCAUUGGCUUCAUUUUCCUUCGUAGGAGCAACGUAUUACCCCUUAGUACUAAUCAACUUCUCCCCCUUCUUAACUUUUUCUUAGAGUUAUUGUUUGGGACGGUUUUAAAUAUAUACGAUAAAGCAAUUAGUUUAUGAUAACUAUAGUUAUGUUUUUAUUUAUAUAAAAAAUAGUCAAAAGUCAUAGAAAGUAUACAGUGAGUAUACAUUAUGAUAUACUCAAAAAAUUGAAUAUAGCUUAUCUAUACGUGAUUUAUAUACACUGACUAUACAUUAUGAUAUACUCAAAAAAUUGAAUAUAGCUUACAUAUUUAUUAGCUAUAAACCGACUAAUUGGCUAUACAUUAUGAUACACUCAAAAAGUUGAAUAUAACUUAAUUAUAUAUGAAACCCGUAUUUUUAAGUGACCUAGAACACUUUCCGAUCCUAAUAGGAAUGCACCAGGAUCCUCUCUUAGCCAAUUUUUAUUUGCAUUAGUAAUGGACAUACUAAUGUGACACAUUUAAUGGGCUAUGCCAUAGUGAAUGUUAUUUACAUAUGAUAUGGUACUAAUUGACGAGAUGCUAGGAAAAGUUAAUGUGAGGUUGGAAGUUUGGAGACGGCUCUUGGAGUCAAAAGAGUUCAAGUUGAGUAGCAUCGAAUUUGAAUAUUUGGAGUGUAAAGUUCAAUACUGAUUUGUCUCACAUAGACAUUGGUAUUGAUACACAUGUCAUCCUCAAGAGAUGAAUUUUCAAGUACCAUUACAAGAAAACUGUGAAUUAUAUAGGGAUUUUUCUGGAAAUUAAUAUGAAAAUUUGCAGGAAAAUAAGUUUCCUGCGAAUUUUCAUACUAAUCCCCAGAAAAAUCCCCAUGUAAUUCACAGUUUUUUUGUAGUGACCUAGACCAAUAAUUCAAGGUAAUGGGAACAUUGAUGAAAAUGUCACUCAUCGUAUUGAGUGUGAAGGAUAAAAUUAAUGCUCACAUCCGAUGUUCUUUGUGAUAAGGAUGUGCCACCUAUACUGAAAGGUAAGUUUUACAAAGUAAUUAUUAGACCGAUUAUGUUAUAUCGAGAGAAGUAUUGUUAGUUAGUGAAUUAUAAAUUCUCAUGUCUAGAAGAUGAGAGUGACAAAGAUAGAGAUAUUGAAGUGAAUGUGUGGGCUUUUCAGAAGUGAUAAGAUUAAGAAUAAAGUCAUCCAGGAUACAGUAGGAGUGGCCCCCCUUGGAGGAAAAGAUGUGAAACGUGUGACUGGGAUGGUUUAGCCAUGUGAAGAAGAGAUGUGUGAUACCAGUUAGUUGGUGUGAAAAGUUGGUCGUAGAGGGCUAAAGAUGGAUAGAGGUAAACCUAAGAAGUAUUGAGGGUGAGGUGAUUAGUCUGGAUAUGACAUAUCUUCAAGUCACCGAGGACAUGACCCUUGAUAAGAUGUUGUGGAAGUCGAGCAUUAGAAUAGAAGGUUAGUAAGAAGUCGUGAGUAUUUCUAUUCUUAGAGUACUAGUAAACUUCUUUUUUGCUGAGCUUUAGGUUUUUAUUACUACAUGUUGUUUCUUUAGUCUAUUUAUCUUAUUUACUUGAUGUUGUUCUACGUACUGUUCAGUCGAGGGUCUAUAAAAAAUAACUUCUAUGUCUUUUCAAGGUAAUGUUAAAAUAUGCAUACAGUCUAUCAUCCGCAAAUCGCACAUAAAAUUAUACUAGAUUUGUUGUUGUUUUUGUACUCCUAAGUAUUCAAUUUGUCUUAAAUUUAACCAUGUUUAACUUUACGGUCCACGAAAAGCCAUGAGUGUCGUUAAUUUCAUCUCAUAUUUGCUCUUUUCUUUAAUGAUGAUUGUGCAACUUAAUUCUGACAUUUACCAACGUGCAAUAACUUGAAGUAUGCCCUAAACAAUUAAAAAUGUCCAAAUGCAAAGUUAAGUAAUAUAUUUAGACUUUUUCCAUCAAUAAAAUAAUGUGAAAAUAAGAAAGAAAAGGAAAACUCCGGGAAAGAGAAAAAAGAAUUGUGGAGAAUAGCAAACAUUUAAAUCAUAUUAAAUAUUAUAGCUAUUGUUUAGGGGAAUUCUAAUUCGCAGCUAUAGUUUUGCUCAAUUUUACUAUUUGCCUGAUUUGUAUAAUUUGUUUGAUUUGUAUAAAUUCAGAAUUUGUAUAAUUCGUUUUCUGAUUAGUAUAAAUCUAGAAUUUUGUAUAUGCUUAUCCGAACUAUUUGUAUACGAUUUAUGAAAAAUUCAUAAGCAAUUACCCUCUUUGUAUAUUGGUAAGAGAAAUAUACAAAUGCAGUUCUAAAAAUUUCUUAAAUGUAUAAAUAUUUAAUUUGUAUAUACUUACCCUAUUUGUAUAUUCGCAAACGAAAUAUAUAAAUGAGCAGAAAUAUACAACUACAACCUCCAUAGCAAAUGAAACUAUAGCUAUGAAGCACAACUAUCGAAACUAUAGUUAUAGAACCUUAUUAUAUCUAUUAUGUUUGUUAUUUCUGAAAUUUUCUAAAAAGAAAAACGGAAAAAAGAGCUAUAGAGAAAAAGAAAAAGGAACAAAAAGGACCUCAAAAGCUUUUCAAUAACCUAUUUAUUAUAAAACAAGAUUUCGUUCCACUUUAACAUACAGUACAAUUAUGUACAAUGUGUACUAGCUACACCUAUUUUACCUUGUAAUAGUGUUUUAAAAGAUAAUUUUGGGACUCGCCUCGACUGUGCCAAUUGCUAGCGCAUUCAGGGCCCCGCACCCAGCUCAGCUGGAGAGGUCAAGUCUGAUCUGAGAAGUUCUAAUUCGGUUCGGAUAAACUUCAUUCAAGAAUGGGCCACUAGUAAAAUGCCUUGAGGCUCACAUGUGAAGUUUAGUUCUAUGAAGUUUGAUUGUAUGUUCUAAACAAGUCUAACGUCCAAUAUUUGAGGCUCAUAUCUAAUAGUUAUUUAUAAAUUAUGUAUUAAAAUUUUGAGUAACAUUGUUGACCCUUGAUCAUAAUUCUUUAAUCAAUCAAUAAUGCUUAUUAAUAGUUUUUUUAAUCUAUAGAAAUAAAAAGAUUGAAAGUAACAAAAAUAAAGAAUUUGUAAUAUUGCAUAUUUACUAUAUGAAAUUAAUAAUGUAAGGGUGAAUAUCAUUUAAUAUUUUUUUUAAAAAUGCAUAGUACAAAUUUUACAUCUUCCUGACUUGUUAUUGAUCUUCAUAUUUUUAUCAUAUGUCUCAAACUUACCAUAUUUUAUUAUUUCGCUAAUUGAAAAUAACUUUAUUUUUAUUCAUGAAAGAGUGAUGUUUUGCUUAUUAUACAAUACCAAUAAAGUUUAUUGAUUAUUUUCCUUUUAGGAUGGUAAAUUGGGUAGUAUGAUAUGCAUCUUCUAAUAACUUUUAUAUCAUAGCAUUAUUUAUACUCAUAAAAUAUACCUUAUAAGUUUUAUUUUUUUAAUGAAUUUCUCUUAUCGUGUUUUUAAAUUUUUCUUAAAAUUAUAAUGAUGUAUCUUUUUUUUAAAAAAAGAAGAAGAUAUUUUUGAUGUUAUCACACUACUUUACUAUAUCAUAACUUAUUAAUUAAAAUAUUUAUGGUGCUUACGUCUCAUGCCUCUAGCUAGCUAGCUUAUGCAUUGUCUUGUACCAAGUAAAAUGUUCCGUCUCAUAUUUCCGCCUUUUAAAACGCUAGUUCUGAUUUCUGAAGUUAGUCAGAAGGCUAACUUUGGACAAUAAUAGUUGUAAAUAACUAGCCUAAUUAUUAUUUUUUCCACUUUCCUAUUUGACAUCACGUAGAUUUUCUAUGUAUAUAGGAGCAUUUUAGUUUUCGUUUUAAUAUUAAUUGGUACUUGUUGCUUAUUGUACAAUCAUCGAUCUAAGGGUGUGUGUAAAAACCGAAUCGACCGAUAAAUCAAAUCGAAAAAAGUGUUAUUGGUUUAUUGUUAUUGGGUUAUUGGGUUAACGGUUAUUUAAUGGUUUUACAAAAAAAAUUAUUGGAUUAUCGGUUCGUUAUUGGUUUUUUAAUAUUGGGUUAUUGGGUUAACCGAUAACCCAUUAAGAAUAUAAUAAUUUACUAUUUUAAUUUUUAGUUAUACAUAUAUAUAAUAUAUUAAAUAAAAAAUAUUCAUAUAAUUAGUAGUAUAUUAGACUAAAAAUAUAAAAAUCCUACGCAAUAAUUAACUCUCCUCUCUACUUUUAGUUAUUUAACCUUUAGGUUUUACUUUUUAGUAUUAAUUAUUUACUUUAGUUAGUUUAUAAUUGACUAAUAUUAGCUUUUUGCACGAUUGUAAAUAUCUGCAAUUUGAUUAACGUUAGGAAUUCAGAUUGUGUUUUUUUUUAAAAAAAAAUAACGUAAGAACUUCAUUUAGUUGGGUCUUUUCUUUAUAUAUGAUUUACCAUAAGCAUGGCCUCAUUUGCUACUUUUUUUACUUUUGUCUAUGAUUUGGUUUUAUUUGAUUCUCUUUAUUGCAUAAAGGGGACCUCGUUUUAUAUAUUAUUGUGAUAAAAAAUUGAUCAAGACUUUGUUGUGAUGAUCAAAAUACAACAAGUUGGUCCUUGUUGUCCCGUUUGGGAUGAUUAUUUUGAUGUAUGCAUAUCGCGUCAAAUUAUUGGAUAAGUUAUAUAUUUGUUUUGAAAGCAUUUUCUUAUUGGUUAAACCAAAAGCCGAACCGUUAAAGACCUAAAACCAAUAAACCAAAAACCGAUAACAAAUAUCUUAUUGAUUUGGUUAUCGGUUUAGCAUAAUUAAAAAUCGAAAACCAAUAAACCGAACCGAUAAUACUUAAAACUGAACUGAACCGACCGAUACACAUGUACACCCCUAGAUCCAUUUCCUUUUUAAUGUUAGUCCCUAUUUUAUACUCGAGUCUUGGCCCAUAUCUAUUGCCUAUUCAAAGCAUUUCGUUCAUGAAUCAAGACAUACCAGGGUGUACAAAAUCAAAUCGAAAAUUGAACCAAAUUGCAAAUCGAGUCAAAUAAAAAAAAAUCGAGUAGUGGUUUGGUAUUGGAAAAAAAAAAAUCCGACUAUAUUUGGGUUGGUUUGGUUUUAACUAAAAAAACCAACCCGAGACCAAACCAACCCGAUAUUAUAUAUAUAAUUUUAAAAUUUUAUUUUAUACAUAAAAAUAAUUACUUUGAUAUAAUUUUUCAAUAUUUCUUAGACUUUUUCAUAGUUUUUAUCUUUUAAUAUAUUAUUUCAAGUUUGAAACUUAGAAUUCUAAAUGGUUCAAUAAAGAUUAUAAUCCAGAGAUGUUUGUAACUAUAAUAAACCUUAAAUCAAAAUCAAAUUAAUACUAAUUCAAAAAGAAAAUCAAUUCAACACUAAGAAUGACAAUAAUAUUGAAUAUUUGUUCUUUAGUUUUACAUUGGUUUAGACAAUUAAAAUACAUAAUCUGAUUUUAAUUUCCUUUAAUAUUUAGUCAUGUAACUAAUACUUAUUAAACUUAUUUUAGCAUGACUUAGUACUUUUAAAUUAUGAUCAUUUUCAUUAUGACUUGUUAAUUAGCAAUAUUUGUUUUACGCGAUUUCAUUAUUAUUUGUUUUUGUUGAAUAUUUUAGUUGUUAAUCAUAUCAUAUUUUGUGUUAUUUUCUUAAGAAACACCUUAGAUAGUUGUAUUUUGGUCAGGGGCGGAUCUAUUAAGACCCGUGGGGGUGCCACGCCACCCCCGAGUUUCGACGGAAACUCUGUUUAUACAUAGGUAUUUAUAUACACUAUAUGUAUAAAUAAUAAACGCGCCACCCAGUAAACAAAAGUGAUCUCUGGUGCCAGUGGUAGGAAAUCAGAUUUUUGUGUCUAAGUUCGCGGGAUCGAACCCCACUAACAGCAUUUUGUUUUAUUUUUUUCAACUGUAGACAACCUUUUUUGUUUUUUUUUAAAAAAACUACAGGCAGCGUUUCUUUUUCUUUUUUCUUAACUACAAGGCACAUCCUCUUUUGUUUUUUUGAUUUUUUUUUUUUUACUUGUUAACUUAUUGUUAUUAAGUAUUAAUCAAAAAUUACUUUUUAACUAAUUUAAUUUAACUUUUGACUUUCUUUAUUUGAUUAAACAUAAAGAAACGUUUUUUUCUCUCUUCACCAUUGAAACUCUAGUUGUUCCUUUAAAUUUUUCAACAACAAAAAUUUAUCAUUAAUCAAAGCUUCAACCUUCAGCCUUCAGUCCGUCGCCGAAUUCCGCUCACCUAUCUGUCCAUAAGACAAAUAAUUCUAUCUGAAUCUAAAGUUGAUUUAAUCUGAGUCUAUUGGGCAUUAGAGGCGAACCCAAAAUUUGAAGAUUUCAGUGCAUCAAUACUAUCUUAAUUUAGGUAGUUAGCGAAACUUUUACUACAAUUAACGAAUAAUCUAGUAUUUGCUUGGUCACUAAUGGCUCAAAUAUGAGCUCUAAGCUUUAUACAGCAAUUUCGGUCAAAGUUUGGAUAUAUUUCAGACAUUUUUCCCUUUUUUGUUGUUGGAUAUUUUAGAGUAAUUAAUCAUAUCAUAUUUUAUGUUAUUUUCUUAAGAAACACCUUAUAUAGUUGUAUUUUGGUAGGACUAAAGAAAUAUUUGAAGUACAAGUAAAUUAUAUGUUUGUAUGAAUACUUCACUAGAAAAAUCCGAAAAAACCCGAAAAUUCGAAAAACCCAAAAAAAAUCCGAAUAAAUCCGAGGUUGAAAAAUCCGAGUUUUAUUGAGUUGGUUUGAUUUAUAAAUUUAAAAAUCCGACACAAAUGGUUUGGUUUGAUAUUUGAAAAACCUGAACCAGUCUGGCUAUGUACACCCCUACAUGCCAUUAUGAACCACAAUUAGGGUUGAUAUAAAAUAUCAAAAAUUGAAUCAAAUUUUUGUGUUAUUUGAUAUUUGGUAAUUGAGUAUUCAGUAUGGUAUUCGGGAGUUAAAUUUUAGAAAUAUGGUAUUUGAGUUUGAGUUUGAGUUUGGGUUUGGGUUUGGUAUGAGACAUUAGUACCAUUUGGUAUUUCUCGAAUACCGAAUUAUUUACUUAAUGAAGGUCAUAUAUCAACAUGUUUGUUAAUUAUUAGUACAAGUCUAAAGAGAAAGUUAAUGAAUAAAAAUAAACCAUCCAAAUACAUUUCUUUUAGUUGUAUCAAUUUAUUUUUUUGUGAUGUCUUCGAUCUUACUUAUUGAUCUUCUAUUAUAUUGUGUCCCCACAUAAAAAAUAGAAAUGAUUGGAGAAAUAGUAUUAACUUUGUAAUACAAUCGGCUACAACUUCAAUACGAUAUUACCGAAUACCAUACCAAAUCGAAAUUUAAUUUACCGAUUACCGAAUUACCGAACCGAAAUUUAAAAUUUUAGUAUUUGGUAUCAAUUUUUAACUACGAAUGACCGAAUUACCAAAUUCGAAAUUUAAUAAUCCCAAACCGAAUACCAAACGUCCAUCCCUAACCACAAUACUCUAGAUUUCUGAACUAUUCAAAUUUAUCUCUCGAUUUAUUUUUAAAUUUAAAAUAUCUUUAUCAUUAAUAUCUUAGGCUCAAAAAUACGUUUUCUUCUAACGGUUGUUUCAAAAUAAGGGAAAAUGGACCAAUUUUACCUGAACUAUAUGAAAUGUGAUAAUUUUUCCAUCUAUUGAAAACUCACGACAAGUGCUCUAAAUAUUAAAGAGUUGAGUCAAAAUUUAUUUAGGAGAUUUUGAACCAUUCUAAAUGACAAUUUUUAUACAAUGUCAAUUUUUUGAAUAUAAAUUUUAAUUAUAAAUAUUAAUUGUUCAACUAAACAUUUAUUCAGUUGUUUUUUUUUAAACUAUUCUAUUAGCACUCGACUAAUAUUGAUUUUUUUUUAAUCACAUCACUCUUAACGUUAGUAAGAAAAAGGACAUGAUAUCAUGUUCAAUAUAAUAACUCAUUCUUACUGUACUCGAAACUAGAUUUAACGUAUGUAUGUCAUGUAGUUUUUUUUUUUAAUCUUUAUCAUCCCUCGGCCUCUUUCACACCUCAUUUCGAAUAGUGCAUGUAGGGGUGUACAUGGCCGGGUUGAUUCGGGUUUUUCAAAUAUCAAACCAAACCAUUUGUGUNNNNNNNNNNNNNNNNNNNNNNNNNNNNNNNNNNNNNNNNNNNNNNNNNNNNNNNNNNNNNNNNNNNNNNNNNNNNNNNNNNNNNNNNNNNNNNNNNNNNNNNNNNNNNNNNNNNNNNNNNNNNNNNNNNNNNNNNNNNNNNNNNNNNNNNNNNNNNNNNNNNNNNNNNNNNNNNNNNNNNNNNNNNNNNNNNNNNNNNNNNNNNNNNNNNNNNNNNNNNNNNNNNNNNNNNNNNNNNNNNNNNNNNNNNNNNNNNNNNNNNNNNNNNNNNNNNNNNNNNNNNNNNNNNNNNNNNNNNNNNNNNNNNNNNNNNNNNNNNNNNNNNNNNNNNNNNNNNNNNNNNNNNNNNNNNNNNNNNNNNNNNNNNNNNNNNNNNNNNNNNNNNNNNNNNNNNNNNNNNNNNNNNNNNNNNNNNNNNNNNNNNNNNNNNNNNNNNNNNNNNNNNNNNNNNNNNNNNNNNNNNNNNNNNNNNNNNNNNNNNNNNNNNNNNNNNNUCCGAAUUCUAAGUUUUAAACUUGAAAUAAUAUAUUAAAAGAUAAAAAUUAUGGAAAAGUAUAAGAAAUAUUUAAAAAUUAUAUCAAAGUAAAUAUUUUUAUGUAUAAAAUAAAAUUUUAAAAUUAUAUAUAUAAAUUCGGGUUGGUUUGGUCUCGGGUUGGUUUUUUUUAGUUAAAAUCAAACCAACCCAAAUAUAGUCGGAUUUUUUUCUUUCAAAACCAAACCAAGUCAAACCAAACCACUAGUCUGGUUUUUUUCCGGGUUGACUCGAUUUGCGGUUUGAUUCAGUUUUCGGUUCGAUUUUAUACACCCCUAAGUGCAAGGACAAAAUUUGCACCUUUUUUCCCUUGUUUUGGAACAAUUCUUAGAAGGAAGGGUAUUUCUGGUUUCAUUUGGAUAGUUAAAGGAUAUUCUUGAGUCAAAAAUGGUAUCUGUGAAUGUAUUUCCCUAAAACAAGGAUAAAUUCGACCAUAGUUUCAAUACUUCAUUGGUAUUUUUUGCUUUUUUAUUUUAUUUAUAUAUCGAUAUGUAAAAGUAUACUCCCUCAAUUUUCAUUUAAUUGUUCGAUUUUGACUUGUACGAAAUUAAGAAAUGUAUCUGUUUUUUCUUUUAAUUUUAAUGGGUAAAGUUACAUAGUAUUUGAUGCUAGUACGUAGGAGAUGAUGACUAUUUCCUAAAAUUAGUUGAGGUGCAUAUAAACUGACUUAAUCCGAAAAAAGAAAAAGUUAGAAACAAACAAUAAAUCCGAAUUUAAUAUAUUUAAAGGUUAGUCAUACACAUGUUCCACGCCAACAAAGCUAAUUUUCGAUAUGUGCAUGCAUUUGGAAUUAUCUUUUUACAUAUUGUCGAAUAAAAGUAGCUUUGUUUGAUGAACAUGGUUAUCCAAAUUGUGAUAUAUAACUAACAAUGUUUGAACGGACUCAAGGUCUAAAGAAAUGUUAGGAGUGGAAAUAAAUGGGCCACUACAAAUGGAUCACUUUUGAAUAUAUGGCCUAACUCUAACCACCACACAUUAAUUAUCUUUCGAGACGAACAACAUAAAUUUCACUAGUUUAGGAGCAUAUUACUUUCCUUUACAUAAGUUUUCAAUAUCAUGAAUAUUAUCAUAUUUUGGACUUCAGAUACAUGUAUUUGGCGCAUCCAUAUACAUGUAUCUUGGCUACACGAGGUCAAAAUUAAGUGUAAUUUGUUCUAGAUACAUUAUAUCCAAGUGGAUUCGCAUGUAUCUAACUCUCUCGCUCGCCUCUCUCCUAUCUCAUUCGCCACUCUAUUUAUGUAUUUGUAUUUUAGAAUCUAUUUGAUAUUGCAGAUACAUGUAUCUAAUAUGAUUCGUAUGUAUCUCAGAUACAUAGACUAUCUCGCUCGCCUCUCUCCUUUUCUCAUUUUUAUCUCCCCCUAUUUUCUCGUCUCCCUCCUAUCUCGCUGGCAUCUCUCCCUAUUUUACUGUAUUUGAUAGCAAAAAUACAUGUAUCUAGGUGUUUUUUACUUGAAAUCUGAUAUGAAAUUAUUAAUGAGUAAUAUAAUAUAUAAUUAUUUCAAAUUAUAGCACUAGAACAAAAACAACUUUUAGCGGCAAUAAAUACACACAUUAAUAAGGAGUGCUAAAGUCUUUACCGGCAUUAGUUAAGUGUCAUUAGAUCCAAUGUUGUUAAAGGCUUUAGGGACAUAUACAAAGAGUGCUAAUUGCCGCUAAAAAUACAUAUUUAGCAGCAAUUGGGCUAUGCCCGUUAAUCAAUUGCCGCUAAAGAUCAUUUUUAAUGUAGUGUAGACAGAAUUAGUAAAUAUGGUAAGAAAGUUUGUCUAAUUAAGUAGCUAGGCUAAUAUGUUUUUCUAGCUAUAUGAGCUAUUUAGAAGUUUAUUUUUCUUCAAAUAAUUUAGAAGGGGAAAAGGUCCAAAUUUUCCUAGAAAAAUCAGUGGAAAUCAAAAUGCACCAUACAAAUUGAUGAACUUAUAUAGUCCCGCUUCCCAUGUGCAUUCCCUUCUGUAAAGAGUUUAUAUAGAUAAAUAAAGUACAUUAAUUAAUUGGCAAUGAAAAGACAUUGUAUUUUGGGACAAUAUAUAUUAAGUAACACUUACAAUAUUAUGGGAAACUCUAGACAUUUCAUGGUUGGUAGUUGGGGGAAAAUAUAUAUACAAGAACAUUGUGACAUUAGUGUAUUUCUAUGGUCUUUUCAGACAUCAUUCAAAUGCCACCUUUGUCCCUCAUUCUUUAAUAAAAAUAAAAUAAUCAUAUCAAAGUUGAUUAGAUAUAUGAAAUUUAUAUAAACAAGGGAACUUAGCUAAUAACUAAGCAAAGAACAUAAUAGAGCAAUUUAUCAUUAAACUUAAGUGAUUAUUUCUUCUACUCAAACUUUCCAUCAACAAAAAAAAAACAACUAUUGUGAGUUGUGCUUACUAUUGAGUUCGAAUCGAUUAUAAAAAAUUGUGUUGUAGGUAGGAUUGUUCAUGGUUAUGGUUAUAAAACCAAAUCGAACCGCAAUUCGAACCAAACCGAUUAAAAAAACUGAUAUUUGGUUAGGUUUGAUUUUAAAUUUUGAUAAACAGAUAUUAUUUGGUUUGAUUUUGGUUUUACUAAAAAUUAACCGCAAAAAUAACCAAACCGAACCGCGAAGUUAUAUAUAUAAAUUUUAUAAUUAUUUAUAAAUAAAAUACAAGUAUUUUGAUAAAUUUUAAUUAACUUAAGUCUUUAAUUUUACUAUUUUCUAAAGCCCAACACUUUAAAUUUUAGCCCAACUAUUGAAACCAUAAGUCUAAAUCCCUCAAUAUUCAUUACUUUAAAGAUCACACUUUCUCUGUAUUUUAUAAAAAAAAUUAACGCAACAUUGAAUAAUUUAAAGCUCAACCUAAAGAAGAUGGUAAUUGAUUAGUUUUGACUAUGAAAUAUUGGUUGUUUUUUUCGAGAAGUAAUUUCUCAAUAUUCUAAGGUGUAACGUUAUUGAAAAGUCUAUUGACAAGAUAUUGAGAUCUCUAGAAUAUUGAACCAACUUUAUGCUAUUUACAAUGAGUUUUUUUAGUUUCUGAAACUUGGUACAUUGGAUGAAUCACUUUGUUCGUGUAAUAGCUUAUUUGUGAAUUAUUCAUGUACUAACUGUUUGUGUCUAUCGAGAUGUGUAUGUCCUCAACAAACUUAUUACUUUCGAACCGAAAAAACCGAACCAAACCGACGGUUAUUUUUUUGAUUUGGUUUUGAAAAUUUAAAAACAGGUUUAAAUUGAUUUGGUUUUGGUUUUAACUAUUAACCGAUUCAAACCGAACCAUAAACCCCUAGUUGUAGGUAAUGUUUCAUUUAAACUCAUCUUAGUUCAAUAUUGUAAAAAUAAUAAUUUUAUGUCAUGAUCCAAUCACAGAUGACACGUAUUGUCCGUUUAUGGCCCAGAAGACGUUAGGGAUUUAUCCCUUGGGCUACGUUGUCAUCAUCAAGCACAAUAGUAUGUGUACAGUGUGAACUUGUGUUAUAUAUGUCAUAUAAAACUCUUUGAUUUUCUUGUGCACCUUUUCUUAGCUCGUCAGCAUACAAAAGCUUGUCAAUCCUGCUCUAUAUAUGACCCACCCUUCAGGCUUCAUCAUGGGCGUCACAUAUACCUCCUUAGAAACUCGACGUCCUUGUGAGGUUUUGUAUUGAAGGAGUGUCCGGCUCUAAUUACACUAAUUAACCCCCCACCCCAACAAACAAACAAAAAAUUAAAGAAGAAACAUAUGUUCUUCUAAUAAUUUAUCUUGGUUGGAAGAGGAGACACUUUAUGUAAGAUUGCUCCAAUGUCUUUGUCAAUUGGAUGUGCCCACAUAUCUGAGUCAUGUCUUCAAUCACAGCUAAUCUAGAUGCCUAUUCUAUCUUUCUAUGAUUGUGAGUCACUUUCAACAUUCUGUUGCCUAAAGAAACUUGCAUCAUCAACAAACCCCACUCCCUAUCACUUAAAGUCUUUCAAUUAUUUAUAGCCCCUAGCUAGCUCUUACAAAGCAAACAUCAACAAGUACUACCUAAGUCCUAAUUAAUUUUUCCAUAAAUCAUUUGGAUUGACUUGUCAAUUGUCAUUAUCUUAGGGUUUUAUUUAAUUUAAUCUUUGUCUCCAAUUAGGACAAAGAGCACUAUAACCUCUCCUUUAAGAGACAUUGAUUGCACAAUUAAGAGAGAAUAAUUGUGCACAAAAAGCAAGGCAAUCUAGAGUCUAAUUAUCCCAAUAAUGAUACCAUAAUAGCCAAUAUAAUUUAUUUCCCCACCUACUUAGUACUUAGGCUUAUCAUCAUGUGAAUUUGAACUUAGAAAUAACAUUAUUAAAAAGUUUAUAUGAUGUGUGGAUUAAGAUCAUCACUAGUGCUUCCACUUAUUAUGAAAAGAUCCUUCUUAAUCUAUGACCCCCUAUGGCACUAAAUAUAUAAACAAGAAAAAUUUAAAAACUAUAAAUAAGAUAUAAGCUAAGAUAAAUAGAAUGAAUUUAAUUAAAUUAAGUGAAUAUUAUAGCAUGUGUUGACCUGGCUCCAAUGAUAUCUUCAGGACAGCACUCCGCACUAGGCAAGUCCUAUACGACAGGCUCGACUCAAAAGAUAUUGAGGGGGGGUCGAUUCUGGAUCAUCCGUGUGGAUAACCACCCUCCAAAUCAAUAUUUCUAUGCAUACUUAUCUAUAUUCACUAUUCAUACUCACGCACAUUUCUCUUAUAUGUAUUAUUGACCCCACGAAAAAAUUGAAUAAUGAUAAGGUACAAUAGUUGUUAGUAAAACUCAUGAACUUUAUUUGAGCAAGACAUAAUUAAAGAAGUACUACAAAAACAUAAAGAAAAAUUGCCACUUGAUUAAACAAUGAUAUGACCUCUCUUUCUUUUUUUCCAUGAACUUUUGCAUAUAGUGAAAGAAUAAAACCAGGACAGAAAUCACACAUGACAUGCUUAUAUAUGAGUAUUGAGUAAAUUAAAAUUGAAAUUGAUCUAUUCAAUAUUCACAAAUUUUAAAUAAGAAAGAAAUGCUUAUAGGUAAACUAUAAUACAUACCUCGUAAUUAAAUUAAUCAAGACUUUUUAAUCAAUCUAUCUUUAUCUCAAUCAAUGCUCGAAAUCAGAUUAUUUCAUUUUAGAAUUAGAUCAGUCAGAAUGUAUUUAUGCAUGCUAACGCGCACAUAGGGGAGAGGAUUACAAGCGUGGAAAUCGAAUCUUUUUCAGCAAGGUAAAAGUUUAAAAUUUAAAUAGUCAACCAACUGAAGUAUCAUAAUUUUCCUGAAUUUGUUAGAAUACGAGAAAAUAAUCAAGUUGUGGACAUUUUGCCUAAGAAGGGAGCAAAGAAUAGAAAUGUUUAUGGGACAAAGAUUUUGAUAGUUUCUCCAAUAUUUGCUAAUAAAGCUAUCUAGACAAACAUUUAGGAAUUACGUUAAAAUGACAUAUUUUAAUUUGACAUGUAAUAUUAUAUAUAAAAACUAGGCAUAACAUGAUAUAUAAACCGUGCAAAUCUAUGCACUCCUACUUUGUGCAUAAGUAGACACUCAAAUUUGUAUAAAGUUGAACAAGUAAAUACACUUCCUACAUGACAUAAUAUAUCUGUAGACGCAAAUUGUCAUGUAGGACUCCACGUAGGUGUAUCGACUUGUUCAACUAUAUAUAAGUUUAAAUGUCUAUCUAUGCACACUCAAAUUUAGAGGACAUAACUGUCAAUUGAGGUCAAAUUAAAGAAUAUUUUUAGGUGUGAUGUGUGUAUUAUUUAACCCACCCCACCCAAGCCCAAAAAAAGAAGAUGUUACAAUAGUGAUUAGACUGGCUAUCAAUCAUUAAUUUUUCCUUUUCCUUUUACUUUUUCACCUCUUUAUCUUCUCUUUCUAUGUACACCUAAAUUCUCAUGACCAACAAUGUCCAUCACGUGAUGUCUUGGAUUUUUCUUUAGUAGAGGAACUACUUAAUACUUAUAUUAUUAUAAUGCCUAAUAGGCAGUGAUCGAACAACAUUUUGCACCAUUUACCUAAUUGUAAGAUGGAAAAAAUUUCAAUAAGUGAGUUGAGAGGUCGUUUUUGCUUGAAAAAAAAUUAAUGUUUACAUAAAAUAGGUCCUCCUAGCUUGCUUGAAAAAGUAAUUCAAAAUAAACAUCAACUUAUUGUAUGAAAUUAUAAAACCUUAGAAUUCUACCGCCCCGAGUUCAAAUUUGUGUACAAAUAUCAAGACACUUCAUGUCGUUUCCACUGUGUCUAACUUACAAAAUAAUUAUCUAAAAACCUCAAAAAAUUAUGUUUCAUAUCAGCAUCAGAGUCUCGGAUGUGUGUGGGGACGAGUUGGAGUGUUCCGUUGAGAUCAAAUUGAGGUGUAUAUAUCUCGAUGUGCACUAUCAAAGUUGGAGUGAGAUCAGCUAAGGUCAAAUAAUUGAGUGCAUAGUUAUGUAUUAUUAUUGUGUGUAUCUCACUCUCUCCAAACUCACACAAGAUAGAGAUAAGAUCUACGUAACUUAUAUGACCACAUUGGAUAUGUUAUUAUUGUGUACAAAAUCUUGUGUAUUAUAGUAAAAACAACUUAUUUGGUACUUUAGUCCUUGCAUAGUUUAGUUUGGCCAUAGUGAUGAUUAUACAGUUGGAUGAAUUAAAGAGCCUUUUGUAUAUAGACCUGCAGAUACCCAAUAACCUAAAAGUUGCACUUUUUUUUUUGUUUUCCAUUGGUUGUUACCUAUAACUAAAUUUGGAUUCACGUUGGAAAUCACACAUUCAUGUAAGGUAAAACACUUCUUCAUAAAGGUAAUUCCAUAAACCGAAGAAUUCGAAUCUGAAACAUCUAGUUAUAUAUAUUUAAAAAAAAUACUUACCAUUCACUAACGUCGAAAAGUUGCACUCAUGGUAUACAAUGGUACUAAUGAAGUGUUGUGUUAUAAUAUUAAUAAGGAUCUUCAUCAUCUCCCACUUUGCAGGUACCCUACAACUUUAUAUUUUCAAAAAAUAUUGGGUGAGAGCUAGCUUGCUAGACUGAUGAUUUAAAAAUAUAUAUGGUAUCCAGCUCUAUUGUGCACUGUCCUUUAAUAUUUCUUCUCACAUAACCAGUUGCCUUCCACUUAAUUUCCCAAACUACACAUUUGACUUGUGCAAAACAAAUGAUAUGAUGUUAUUCCAAUACAAAAGCCUGACCUACAAACUACAAAGUCACUACUUCUCUCAAUGGAGUUAAAUUUUUUAGUUUUAAUCGUAAAUUCGGACAUAAAAUCUCUAAAAAAAAUAAAAAUUAUAUAUUUGAAAACCUUGUAAAAGUAUCAUAAGGUAUAUUUCAUUCGUCUCAAUUUACUUUCGAAAUUCGAAAAGAGUGAUUCUCCAGCUUGUUUCUUUUGAAUUUUCCUAUGUAUAUGUUAGGUGCUCACAGCUAAGCUAGAUACUAUCUUUAAUUCUUUAUUAUCCCAUCAAGGUGUAAUCUAUUUGAUGUUUGACUCUAUUGCUUCACUAUCCUAGCUAGAAAGAAGAAAAUGAUAUAUAGUACCAUGCAACAUGCAGCAUCUCCAGCUUUUCACCUUUAAGCAAAGUUGACCCCCCUAAUAAAUUAUACGUCUUAUCGUCGAUGAUAGAGUCAGAAUUUUUAUUUAAAAUUUCAAAAUAUAGAGAACUAUAAACAUAAGAAAACUUAAACAUAUGUGUAGUUAGCAAUAUAAUUUUUUAACGAAGGAAUAUCAAUUGACAUCUAAGACGAAUACAUGUAAGUAACAUGUUAUAAUCGACUAGAUUAAGCUAAUGGUGUUUUUAUAAAGUUUUACGUUGUCACGCACUUACAAUUGUACCAUCAUGUGAAAUGUGUAAUAUGUCAACUCAUGACUCACAUGGGGCCUUCCAUUUAUGACAAACUUUGAAUAAGUUGAUUUUUAGACCUAAAUAAUAGGCGAAGCUAUAAUAUUAAUUAGUAUAUGAUUUCUCUUUUGAGUUUUCGAAAUUAUCAUGUGUAUCAAAUUUUGGUCCUCAAAUGUAUAUGUAUGUAUCUAGUGCGUUCUAAUACAUGUAUUUCGGAUAUAUGAAAUUAAAAUUAGAUGUAAUUUAUUUCAGAUAUACUGUAUCCAAGUGAAUUAUAUAUUCACAUGUAUCUGAAAUAUGUGACUCUCUCGCUCGCCUCUCUCCUAUAUUGCUCGCCUUUCUCCUUGUGUCGCUUGCGUCUCUCCUUAUGUAUAUGUAUUUUAGAAUGUAUCUGUAAUCUCAUAUACAGAUACAUGUAUCUAGUAUGAUUUGCAUGUAUUUGGUAUACAUUAACUCUCUCGCUCACCUCCCUCCUAUAUCGCUCGCUUCUCUCUCUAUAUGGAGUAUAUUUGGUAGCAAAAAUACAUGUAUCUAUAUGUAUCUGACUUGAAAUUUGGUAUAAAAUUAUGAAUUAGCGAGACAAUAGUAAAUUAAUUAUUUCAAAAUAUAUAGAAAAUUAGUAAAUAUGAUAGAAAUGUUCGUGUAAUUAUAAAUAGUUCGCUUCCAAUUUAAAUUUCUUUUACUACUAGCUAGUAUACAUAAUGUUAUUUGUUGAUGAAGGGGGUUCGGAUGAAUCCUGCCCUUGCUUCUAUCUAUAGACUAGAUUCACCUAUGUCUUGUAGUUAUACUGAAAAAUUGACUAAAUAGAUAAAGUCUCUAGUUCAUUAUGAAUCCAUUAAUUAAAAUGAGCUGUAAAUUUGAUAGUAGAUAAUAAAUUAAAAAGGAGUUUUCAUUAUUAUUAUUUUCAUUUCAAAUUACUCACAAAAAGUCAAAAAUAACUCCAAUUUUCAAAUAUUUCCUUUGUCCCUAAUUACUUGUCCACUUUUUAUUUUAUAGUUAUCCUUAAUUACUUGUCCAUUUUGACAAAUCAAGAAAGGACAAAAUAAUUUUACCUAUUAUACCCUCAAUUAAUUGCUCCCUCCGUCCCUAUUUAGUUGUCCAUAUUUCCUCUUUUAGUUGUCAAUUUUGACAAAUCAAGAAAGGACAACUAAUUUUUUUCCUAUUAUACCCUUAUUUAAAUAAAGUUGUCAUAAAUAAAGUAAAUAAACUUAUGAACUUCCUAGCAUUGAUUAGUUAUCUUGAGUGAAUUUAUUUUGGAAUUGUAAAUUGCACUAUAAGGGUAAAAUUGUAACUUCAUUAUGCUAAUCAUUGUUGCCUUAAUCUGUGUGUCAUUUCUAAAGUGGACAACUAAAUAGGGACGGAGGGAGUAUUUUGUAAAAGAUAGAAUUUCUUGAAAAUCUUAAAUUUUUAAUCCAUCCACUUCAUAAUUAAUAGGGGUAAAUGGUAAACUCACUAUGUCAAUAAUUGCUUUCUUUAAGGUGUGUUAAUUCAAAAGUGGACAAGUAAUUAGGCAAUCAUUUUUCACUUUGAAAAUAAAAGCUACUUUUUUUUUAAUUUUUCAAAUUUCACAAUAAAACACGAUUAAACAUAGUAAUAAAAAAUAUGGAAGGACUGCAUUGCAUUAAUAUCCCAUGCACGUUUGCAUGGUGGAUAUAUGAAGAACUACAUUAUAUUGUAUGGAGUAAUAUUUUUAGGUUUCUGAUUAUGGAAGGUCCAAAGAAUCACAAGAUCAUAUUGGAAACUGUAAAAACCUUAGAAUUCUUAUUUUUUAAUUAACUAAAAUAGAUGACGUUCUAUCAAUUCAAGAAUCACUGAAAUUUAUAGCAUUUGACCUGUAAGUGAUAGGGUGGCUACUCUUUUUUUAAUUCUAUAUAUCAUAUUAUAAUAUAAAGUCUCUUUUCUUUGUAAUCUAUGAUUAAUAAUAUUCAGUACUAAUAAAGUAAACGUUUCCAAUUAAUUAAUUAAAAUAAUGAUUUACUUUCAUCAUGUCAAACAUUCCGAAUCCUAUGCCAAGAAAAAAGUAAAAUUUAAUAUCAAGAUUUGCUUCCUUUGUGCAGUGCACUAUAAGAUAUCAUGUUAUAUUGUCUCAUAAUUAAAUUAAUAAUAUUAUCAUUCUUAUCAUAAAGUGUUAAGUAUUUUGUCAUUUUUAACCAGAGGUCCUGAAUACAGAGUCGUGACCUUUGUAAGUGUUUAAUUCCCAAUGUGAGAUUUUCUGCUAUAAAUCCAAAUUUACUCAAGUUUCAAACACCGGAAAAAAAAAUAAAAAAAUCUCAACAUCAAAAACUUUUAUAGUUUCUUGUACUACAAUUCAAAUAAUUAUAUUAAUUAAACAAUCACCUUUCCUAAAAUAAAAUUUAGAAUUACUAAAAAGAUCAAAAGAAAUUAUGUGACCAUGGAGUAUAUAUAUAGAAUAUUAAUUUCCUUAGUAGUAGAAGUAAGCUUUUGAGGUCACUAACUUUUUUAUAUACUAAAAUGGUGAAAGAUUUUUAAAAAAAAUUUAAAUUUAUUUUGUUAUUGUUUAUUUUUUAUUUUAAAAAAAGAGACAUAAACAUUGGGAAGGAUGGGAAUAGCAGAGAUUCCACUUUCCUUAAUAUGGAGUAAAGGGAUGGGGCAUUCCACACUAUGUUUGUUUAUAUCUUGACCAAAUUCUUUCUCUCUCCUCUACCAUAACUAUAAUAAUAAUAUUUUCGUAUAAUUUUUAAAUAUCUAAAUUUAAUUAUAAGACGUUAGAUCAAUUAAUCUAAUACUACUACAUAUACCAUACUAAGGAUUCAUUUGAUUGGUUGAUGAAAUAAUUAUAAAUAAAGAUAUUAAAUUGAAUUAAUUUAUCUCACUUUUUUAUAUAGAAUCUUGUUCUACUAUUUAUAUUAAAAUAUUAAGUAGUUUGUUCGCAUUUUGCGUGAUCAUGAAUAACUUGUUUUAGCCUUGUCAUCAAUAGGGGUCAAGAAUAAAACAAUCUGGUAACUAAAUAAUACUUUUUUUUGUCUUAAUUUAUAUAGCAUUUUUGGAUUUCGAUAUUUAAAGAAGUUUAUUUUUCACCAUAAUUUUUCAAAAUAUCUUUUAUAUAUUUAGAAUUGUCAAUUAUUGUGGUUGAUAAUACUUAUAACGUGGUUUUUAACUAUAUAAAUUAUAUUUCAAAAAACUUGAAAUUUUUCUAUUUAAAUUCACAAUCAAACUUAAAUUAUUUAACCGUUUUGAAAUUUGAAAUAUGGCAUACAAAUUAGCACAAAAAGAGUAGUUAUCACCAAAAUGUAAAAUAAAAUAAUUAUAUAGAAUAGUACUUUUGUUUUUUAAAGAGGAAAUCAAAUAUCAAUUCUCUUGACAGGUGUGUCAAUACAGAAGAAACAGUAGCUUUUUUAUUAUUAAUAUUUUUGUGUAAAAGAGAAUUCCAAAAAAAAAAAAGUCCCCACAAGAGUAGAGAGCCAUCACUAACACCAUCACUAUCCAUCAAUAAAUACAAUUUCUUUUAACCCAAACAAAUACUCUCUACUUUCAUCACUCUCUCAGAACUCUUGUCCCCAAUACACUUUACUUAAAUCUCGAUUAAUUUUAUGAGAUAUUUGUCAUUUUCUAGCAACGAUAAAUAUCUAUUCAUCAAGACUAAAAUAGAUGGAAAGAAUUAUCUAGUAAUCUUUUUGUCUCCGUUGAGUUUUGAAUCUGAAAUCUCAGAAUUCUCAACCACUUCAUUGACCACAAUAUGAAAUUUUAAAAAGUAAAAGAAUUUCGAAUCUUAUAAUCUUAUGGCUUAAACAUAUCAUGCAAAAUGUUAAAAUUAAAAAAAAUAAUUAUAAGAUAAAUAAAUUAAAAUGAAAAAGGCGAGAAGUAUUUAUUUCAGUUUUAUGUACAUUCAUGCACAAGCAACACAAAAUUAUACACAUCCCACACCCUUUUUAAAAAAAGAAAUUAAAUUUAGAAAGUGCCAAAAGAAAACUUAAUGUAAAUGUAUGUCUCUAUCAUGAAAAGGAUGGUCAAAAAACUUUUAUUAUAUUUAUGUAGUAAUCAUUUAUUGAUAAAAAAAAAAAAAGAAUUAAGGUACGUACUCCUAGGAGAAAAAUAAUACUGAAAAUAUGCUUGUUAGAAAAGAAAAGAAAAAAGUUUAGUAAUAAAUAGAGGAAAUACAUAUGUUGUGAAUUAAAUAUAAAUCGUUUUAAUUUUGAAUUUAGCCUAGCUAUAUGAGUUUAUGGCAGGUUGGAUAUUUUAUUUUUCAGUAAUUAAUUUCACCUAAAAAAAAUAAGUGAAAAUUUUAAAAAUUAAAAGUGAAUGGUAAAAAACACACCUACAAUAUCUAUGAUUUUUGAGUUUCAUACCUUAAUAAUUAAUUAUCAAGCGGAAAUAUUUUUAAUCUAAAUUAUCAUCAAAUAUUUAUCGAUAGACAUGUUAACUAUCAAUCGUUUACCUUUUUUCCUCAGUAGCUUUGUGUAUUUACAGGAGUUAAACAUACUCUCAAUUGUAUCGAUAAACAAUCAAAUUUUCAUCUGCUGCUUAAACCUUUCAGUUACAUUUUCCUUUUACACAUACUUUAAAAAAUCACAAAUAAGGAAGUAUAUUUCACUAAUUUAUCCUAAUGUAUAUAUUAUUUACUUUUAAAAUAAUUAGUUUAAAGAGCAAAAUAAAAAAGCUUAUUAAUUUUAUUAAUUAAUAAGUAUUUUGAGACAGACAUUUUUAGUAAUAUUGACAACUAAUAUGACCAGAGGGAAUAGUUACUAUUUCGAAAAUGUUAUUUAGAAAAUGGAUCCUUUUAUUUCCAAUACUAUUUCUACUCGUAUUGUUUUUUUAAUAAUAGUGAAGGUAAGUAGUACUACUAAAUUUCUGAAUUGAAGGGUCAGGGAAAAGACUUGUCAAUUUUUACUCUCACGUAAUUGUCAGCUUGGUAGAAAUUGAAAGCAACUUAUGAUAUAAUAAGUACAAUAAAAAUAAUAUAUUUCUAGAAGCUAGAUGUCACAUGUAUAUGUUAAAAAAUGUUAUUUGGUUCGUAUUCAAUAAAAUAUGAGUAAUAAGCAUUGUUCACAAAUUUAUAGUAACAUAAGAUGAAAGAAUGAAAAAAUCGAGUUUACUGAAUUUAUAAUAAUGUGUGUUUAAAAGAAUUAUGAAUUGUGAAGAUUCACUUAUGCAUGCCUCAAUCUUAACUGGUUGAGAUCAACUAUUGUAUAAUGUGAAGAUUUAUCGUAUUAAUUAUUUUUAAAUUGAUACAAUUAAAUUUAUAAACGUCGAUUUAGAACAGGUGAAUUGAAAUGACCAAACAAGAAAAAUUUUAUAUUAAUUUUCUUAAUUGACAAUGUAUAUUUAUUAAUAUUAUUUGUCAUAUACAUUGUUACAUAGUUUUAUUAUUUUUUAUGCUAAACUUUUAUCCAUGUUUAAAUUUUUGCCACAUAUAUAUAAGAAAAUAAUGAAGAAACUAGAAUGGAAGUACAGUUAGGAUAAUAUAUUUCAUCUAGUCCAUAAAUAAUUUUUUUUGUCACAUUUAUAAAUAGAUAUACUUACAUUUUGUAUUUUAUGUGAGAGUGACACGUGAAGUGUUAGGUAUAAAACUACACAGUACAACUAGUUUUUUUAUUAUCAAUUUCAAAAAUAUAUGUUAUAGUAAAUACUAUUAUUUAUUUAAGCAAAUAUUUGAAUAAUUAGCUUAGUACAAAAUAAUAUUGCAGAUUUUAUUGUGAAUGUUCAAUGUAGAUCAUCAUAUAUAUCUCUUAUUCACGCGAACCAAUGAAGAUGGUCAACGAAAAUUUUUAUUAGUUAAAUGUAAUAAUGUUUAUAUUUAUUUUAAUUUGAUGAGGUUCAAUAAUGUAAUUCGUUGUAUCUCACUAAUAUUAUCUUAUAGGCGAUAUUUGUUGUGUAUAUAAAAAUUAAACUAAUACAAACUUCAACUAGUGUUAUUACAAGUCAUAUGAAGUUUUCUUCGUCUAAAAUACUGAAAUAUUAAAAAAUAGUUAAUAAGUAAAACAAAAGGGCAAUGUUUAUAUAGUAUUAACUAUUUUGAAACAAACUUUCUAACAAUCUAAAGCACAUAAGUAGCAUUGAUAAAAAAAAUCAUUCUUUUGUCUUGAGCAUCAAAAAAACAAAUAGUGACAAUUCUCUAAAUUUUGGAAAAAGAUAUUCAAAAACAUAUAUCUACAUCACAAGAGAAAUUGUUAACAAAAACAAAUGAAUUUAGACUACAUCAUGUGAACAUUACAUACAAAUGUAUAUAUUAAGAAAAAAAAAAUUAUUAUACCAUCAAAAUUAUUUUCCUCAAGUACUUGAGGUUAUAGAAUAUACCCUCUUAGGAUAAAACGAUUUACUUCAUCAAAAUAGUGGUACCUCAUAUUCCGCUAAACUUUUAACUCACUUAACGACAAUAAAUCACACAAAAAUUUAAAAAUAUAAGAAGAAUAGGAGUAGAAGAUUAAAAACAAUUGUGGUUGAAAAAUGAGAGGAAGCCCCUCUAUUUAUAGUCAAUAAAGGGUAGUAUGAACAAAUGUUUUUUGUGUCUUAUAUGAAAAGUCAUGACCUUUCCGAGAAAUCACAAUCCUUUGCGAAAAGUCACAACUUAUCGAAAAAAUUACAACUCAUCGAAAAAGUCACAGCCUAAGUUAGAGAUAUUAUAGUAAUUUAACAUUCAAGUUAGGAGUUCAUGCUUUUAAGGUUAUAUAUAUAUAUAUAUAUGUAAUUAAUGAUAACUGCAAAACCGUUUCGAUUGUUCAUUGUUUUGAGUUAUUGUACGUACGAUGUUAACAAUGGUUGUUUUAAGUUAUUGUGCGUACGAUGUUAACAAUGGUUUAACAAUCAUAGAUAGUACACUUUACGUCUCAAAUUAAUUGUCAUGUUUUAUUUUUUAAGAGUUGAUUGGACGAAUUACUAAGUUAAAUUGGAUUAUAUUAAUUAACUUAAUAUUUUGAUAAAUAAAAUUUAGAUAUUCGGAAAUUCAAUGAAAGAUAUAGGAAAAAACAUUUGAAAUAUAUCUGAACUUUGAUCGAAAUUGUUGUAACAAUCACAAACUUUGGGCGAGACUUAUUAUCACAUGCACCAUUUAAUAGUUAUUUUAAAGAUAUAUAAGUGUCCAGCUUGACAAAUUACUAUUUAUAAUGAUGCAAUAUUUUUUAUGGGAAGAUGUUUGAUAAUAUUAUAAUCUUAAUUAAUCAUAAUGUAUUUGUUUAAGUAUUAUUUAUCACUCAACACUCUCACGUUUCCUUUAUUUAAUUAAUAAGUAGUACUCCCUCCGUCCCAUUUUAUGUGGCAACAUUUCCUUUUUGGUCAGUCCCAAAAAGAAUGUCACUUUCCUUAUAUGGUAAGUAUUUAAAGGUGUAAUUCCUUUUUUACCCUUGUUGGUCCCACUUAAUCUUAAAAUAAUACUCCAAUACAUUUAUGAGGAGAGAGAAAAGUGAGUGUACUUUUUAAAGGGCAAACAUUUCAAAGUCUUCAUUUAUUUCUUAAACUCCGUGCCCGGUCAAAUGUUGCCACAUAAAAUGGAACGGAGGGAGUAGUAAUUAUUGUAAAAAUAAUUCAAGUAUAAAAAUAACGAUCGUGUGUAUCUGUUCACAACAGUAAAAUAAAUCGUAGUUGAAAUCAUCAAGAAAAAGCUGCCACAAGUCCACUUUGUCUCUCUUGAAAACAAAAAAUUAUUUAACUACCCGGUUUACUUUACAAAGUUUUAUUUCACAAAUUACGAUCUAUUAGUGAUAUUUUAUAUUGAUUGUGUUCUCUUCAUUUCAACGUAUCUUAUUUUUACCCUCAUUCCUUAUAGUACUCAUCCCUAUCAUUCCAUACCCCUCUCUUCCUAUCCAAAUCGUCCAUAGUGUUUGUCUAAUUAUAUUCAAAUAUUUUUAGGAUAAUAAUUUUUGUUUAUCUAUCAAACACAUUAAAAAAAAAUUUCUUAUGUUCCAAGAUGAAAAAUAUUUUCCUUCGUACGAACACACCCUUAAUGUAGGAUAGAUUUUUUGGAGUUGAAUAACUUUUUUAUUACUUUUUCAAACAUUUCUAGUACCGACUAAUUUAUUCGAGCUAGACAUCUUAUGAUGUCAUGAUGCGUUCAUGCUUCCUAUGGCCCUUUCUUUAAUACUUUUGGCUCUCAGGGGUCUCGUUAUAGUAUAUUUGACUGAAGUGUGACUUGUAAAUCCAUAAAUAAUUGGUAUUGUAACGAAGUGAUUGUUGCUCACCUGAUACAAUCGUAUGUUAGAUCACAAUUCACCCAAUACGCAAGCAAAAUUCAUGUCAAUGAUGAGGAUAUUCAGUCGACUCCUUCCCUCUUUGUGGGGUUCCAACCCUUACGAGUGAGCAAAAAAAGGAGAAAGAAUGAGAUCCUGGUGAACUGUCAUAAUUAGUGAACAAAUGUAAGCUUCAUAGAUUCCUUGACAACUUUUUCCAAAUUAAUUAUCUCCUCUAAAUGAGUUGAAUCAGUCCAUAUAAAUAAUCCGCGACUAAUAAGACUCGAUAUUCAACAAUAAUUAAUCCCCUAAAGAAAAAAGAAAUAAUAAAUUAUAAAGGAAUUCUUCUUCUUCUUUUCCAAAAUAUCAACUUUUCAAAACAAAUUCAUUUUGUCAAAAUAAUUAAUAUUUGAAACAAAAGGUAACAUAUAUAUACAAUUACAAAAUUGUAAGAUAAAAAAUUCUAAAAUUGCCAUAAAUAAAUAAAUUAAUAUCAUGUCAGUCUAUAUAUAUAUAUAUAUUGAAACAUGCAUGUGUCUUUGUAUUAUUGCAUUUAGAUUUGUACAUAAAAUUUGUUGAUCCCUUGUGUGUUUUGGACCACAAAAAAUACAGAAAAGAAGAAGAAGAUGAAAUUAUGUAUGGAGUUAUUAAUGUAAUGAACAGUAGUCUGAAAAAGAAAAUAAGAUUGGAAUUGGUCAAAGAAAACAGAUGCAUUCAUGACACACAUAUGUCACGAGACUAUUGGAUUUUAUUGAACUUUUUUCUAUCUAUACAUACAUCUUUUUAGUACCCAAUGUAUAUCAAUUUUUGGUACUAUUGGGGUCAUUAGGUUUGAAAAUAAUUUAGGUUGGUAUUAUUUUUAAUUGGCUAUUUGAUUUGUCAUAUUAAAAAUAACAUUUAUUAUAUAAUUUUUAGAAAAUUUUACGUUAAUUUCAUAGUUUUAAGAGCUAGUUGCAUUAUAUAUCUAUUUUUUUUUAAUUACAAGUAUCCCUUAAAUUUGAUGGAAUUCGGAUAUAUCCCAAAACGCCAUAAUAUAUCACGUCUUGAUUUCGGAUACAUCGUUCAACAUUCCGAUACAUCAUUCAAUGUCCCGAUACAUCGCGUAUGUACCGAUACAUUGCGUAAAGUGCUGUAUCCGAGAAUAAGAGAGAGUAAGGAUUUUUGUAAUUUUUUCAAAUGGUAGAAAAUUUUAGAAAAUAUGGUAAAUAAGUUGUGUAUUUAGAUAAUUUUUCCUAAUUUUUAAGAAGUAGUUAUUUGUUUAUAAAAUUAUUCUCUACCUUAUUUAGUAGAAAAAUGGUUUGAGGGGACCUAUAAGGGUAUUUUUGUCAUUUUUAUUAUUCUAUCUUGUGAUAACUAAUUUCUAUACUUUUAUUUUUCCAAUUGGAAGGAAUAAUUUAUCGUGGUACUAAUUAUUAAUUAUUAGUAGUAGAGACAGAAUUUUGGCGAAGAAUGUGUAAAUUUUCUUCUCAAUUAUAUUAAGAGUGUAGAAAAUUAAAUACACACUCCUAAUAACUAAUAUUUAACUUGCGUACGCCACAUAAGUUAUCAGUGAAGAGUGUCCACAUACCACCAUCCACCUAAGAUAGCUCCAUUCAUGCUAAUCAUAAAAUAACUUAUCUUAAAAUUAGUAAUCAAAUAAGAGAUAAAAUAAUAUUAAUUUUGUUUAGAUCACAUAAAUAAAUGUUUGUCCAUCAUACCAAAAGAACCGUAAAUAUAUGGGUGGAAAUUAAUGUAUAUCUAUUGCCUCUUUUAUUUAAUUGAGUAAGUUUGUUAGGCUGUUCACUUAGACUUUUAUUUGUUUUUGAGAUUGACUUACUUAGGCAAAUGCACGAGCUUCAUCGUGUUAGGUUUAUUGACAUGUUGGACAUGUAUUUCUCCUUCCAAAAUUUUAUCUCGUUAAGUUUAGGCGUGUUUCAAAUACUUAUCUCAGCUUUUAUUAAGGGCCCCAUACUCCUACGUACAAGAGAUUGAAACGACUUGCUAUGUCAUGCAUGUGGCAAAUCAGAGCUGAGUCUAAGUUUAGUUAGUUAAGUAGAUGAGUAUUUUUAAUAUUGUCAAUAGUUUGAAGACAAAACUAUUAAUUUUCGCCAAGUUCAGAAAUAUUUUCAAUAAUUAUUGUCUCGUUUUAUUAGGAUAGAAAAACAGUUGUUUGUGCAUCACAUGCUCAAUUUGACAUUGUGUUACACAAGAAUAAGUGUGUUGCUAUUUUAUAUGGUUCUUAACUUUGACAUUCAAACUCCAUCACGUUUAGGAUUUUUGGCAUUGUGAUUGUUGACUUCAACUGCCUAAUAUGUGACAACUUGAGCAAAUUUUAAAUGUUGAUUGAGACCAAUUUCUAUUAAUUGAGGUAAAAUGAAAUAUUUCAAAAUCAACAGGUAUAGAAUAUUAUUACAUUUAGGUGUGAAAAAAUCAGCCUACAAAUUAUAAUUCGUUCAAUUUAUUUAGGUUUUGGGAGAUUUGAUAAUUUACUUGUUUUAUUAAUCGGUUCGUUUGCACUUUUGCCUCUCAAAGUAAUUUUUUUUACGGAGCGUGAAUUUAUAUUUCCACAUCAUAAUAUUUCAUGAGUAAUGUUCUAUGUCCUUAAAGAAUGUAUGUCUCGCUAGGUAUAAGGUCAAUUUUGAAGGGCAAAAAUUAAAAAUCAAUUCAUUUGAAAGACAAAUCAUGCAAUUACACCUGUGAAAAUUUGGGUAAAUAUUUUUUAAAAAAGAUAUUUUUUUAAAAAGAUAUUUUUUUAUUUAAUAUUUUAUACGGUCAUAAUAUAAGAAAGUCUUAUUAGAUACUUAAACAAAUUAUAAUAAUAAUAAAACAAAAAAUUAGAAUUAAUAAGAAUUGGAUGAGUUAGGUUAUUACUCGAUUUUUAGCUCAUUGCACCCCAAUUAAUCUCGACAAAUAACUUUUAAAUGAAUCAAUAACACACUCACUUAUUAUCUCAGCCCAUUUUCACAUAUCCAAAUUUAACCUAACACGUUAAUUUGACACCCUAAUUAAACCCAUUACUCAUUUUUGGUUAUAGUUGUUAAUUUAAUUUGUAUAAGUGCAUACUUUUAACAGUGAUCAUUCGAAUCAUCACAUAAUAACAAAUUAUCAAUAAUAACAUAUUCAAUAAAAAUUUAAAAUGAUAGAAUAUAUGGAGAUAUUAUAAUCAUCACAUUUGUUAUUGAAACUAGAAAUCCGCCGUUGAUAUGUAUAUUGCCUCAAAUUACAUUAUUUUAAAAAUAAUAAAAAGGAAACUUGACUAUAGAUAGGGUAGGUGCAUUGCAUAUUACUAAAUUAGAAAUAAUAUUAUAGUAUUCCAAAAAAAAUAAAUGGUGAAUAGACUAAUGAUUUGGUCCCAAUAGGUAUAAAUGUAACAGAAAAUGGUUAAACGAUAAAAUGUAGGAAAAAAAAAACUAUGAAAGUGUAGUUUCUUUUUCCACAUUGAUUAAAUAUUCAACAAAUAAAUAAAAUUCAAAUUUAAGUAGGAAAUAAUAUGGCAGAAUAGUAGAGAAAAUAGACUAGCACUAUAAUUAUUGUUUGAAAUUGGCUUCACGACAUAGAGAUCUUUAUAGGCAUUUUUCUAAAAUAAUAAUAAUUACAUUAUCAGUUACCAUACAAGAAAAUAUAAUUGAUGAUAUAAAAUAAUAAAUUUAACUUAUGCACAUCGAUAAUAUGGUACGAAGCAAGCAAUCUACAAUAACAUGUAAAACUGACUGAUAAUAUUAUCAGUAUAUAUCAGUUAAAUUUAAAAAUACAAUAGAUUAUUAGUAGCACUAUGUCAAAAGUAUAUUGACACUCAAAAGCAAAGCAAGUGUUUCAAUUAUGAAUUCGUUCGAAUUUGAUAACUUCAAUUCAAAUAUUAUAUUUUAUAUUUAAAAUUUUAUUAUAUAAAUUGUUAAUUUAAAAUUGGAGGAAAAUUUGGGAAAAAAGACUUGAUAUGUUUUUCAACUUUGUGAUUUUAGAGUUGAUAUACCCUUUAUCAUAAAAAUGGGUUCAUAUAUCCUUAUCUUUACAAAAAUGACUCACAUAUACCUCUAUCUUUAUAAAAAAAAAAAAAAAAACUCAUAUAUACCUUUUUCAUAUAAAGGAUGUGAAAAAAUAAUUUUAAAUUAACUUUUUUAUUUUAUUUAAAAAAAAUAAAAUCAAGUAGAGAUAUAUAUGAUCUAGCAAAGUUCAGAGGUAUACUUGAUCCUUAUCACAUAUGAUUUUUUUUUUUUUUUGAACUUCUUUAAUUCAAUUACUAAUUUGAGUUUUAAAAUUUCCUUAUAGUGAGUUUCUUAUUCUUAUUUCAUUUUUUUCUUCAUGUUUUAGUGUAAAAAUAUGAUAAAUAAAAAGAAAGAAGUGUAAAUGAAAAAAAAUAAAAAAAUUAAAAAAAAUAAAAAAAAAAAAAAAAAAAAACUCAUAUAUACCUUUUUCAUAUAAAGGAUGUGAAAAAAUAAUUUUAAAUUAACUUUUUUAUUUUAUUUAAAAAAAAUAAAAUCAAGUAGAGAUAUAUAUGAUCUAGCAAAGUUCAGAGGUAUACUUGAUCCUUAUCACAUAUGAUUUUUUUUUUUUUUUGAACUUCUUUAAUUCAAUUACUAAUUUGAGUUUUAAAAUUUCCUUAUAGUGAGUUUCUUAUUCUUAUUUCAUUUUUUUCUUCAUGUUUUAGUGUAAAAAUAUGAUAAAUAAAAAGAAAGAAGUGUAAAUGAAAAAAAAUAAAAAAAUUAUUUGUGACUAUAUUGUAAUUUUUUUGUGUGUUUGUACAAACUAAAUUUAUUAUGAAAUAUAAAUUUGACUAUCAAAAUAGCCGUUGAAUAAAGAAGUAAAAAAAAUCACGUAUGAGAAGGAUCAAAUUUACUCAUACAUGAUUAUUUUAAAAUUAAAAUAAUAAUUUAAAAUAAAUUUUUUCACUUUCGUUGGAUUUAAAAGAUAUAUUUGGGUUAUUUAUGUAACAGUAGAAGUAUAUAUAUGAGUCAUUUUUAUAACAAGGAGCCACAAAAUAAAAAGAUAUAUGAUACCCUUUUUUCUUUACAAAUUACUCCAUUCGUCCACUUGUAUUUGUCAUGUUAUAUUUUUUGAAAGUUAAAUUAGAUUAGAUUAAUUCAAUAUUUUAAACAAAAAAAUUAGAUAUUAAAAAAUUAUACGAAAAAUACUAUAUUGUAAUUUUUUACAUAUCAAUAUGAUAAAAAAUACAUCAUAAAAUGUUAGUCAAAUUUAUUUUAGUUUAACUCUAAAAAAAGAAAAUAUGACUAUUAAAAAUGGACUGAGUUGCUUCAAAUUUUUAUAACCUUCCAAAUGUUAACUUCGUAUAAAUCAACUUAUAUUGAGGGGUUUGAAAAAAAGAGUAUUGGAAACCGGGCAGGCAAAAGCGUGGGGCCUUCUGCACUUCAUUUUGGUAUAAUCUUUAAAAAAACAAAAUUCUUUCUUAUUAGUAUUAUCAUUAUUUAGUACGGAGGUUUCUAGUUUAAGUUUUAGGUAUGAUUUUUUUUUAUAAGGAAAUGCUUUUCCUCGAGUGGGGCUUUAUGCAGUGUAAAUUUAAAAUAGUCGAGCUCCAAUAAGAAAAUUGAAUACCAGAUGAAAAUUCAUAUAUCUCAACUUAUGUGACACCCUUUCAUUUUCAGUUCGUCCAAACAAAAUGUCAGCUUUCUAUAAUUAGAAAUAAUUUCACUUCUAUCCUUGAUGAAAAAUUUAUAAUCACACAAACGAUAAAAAAUGUUGGAUCAUAAAUUUUUAAAAUCUUCUUUAUUUUUAAAAUUUAUAUAUAAUAAAAAUAUCACGUAAACUGAAACGGAGAGAAGUUGUCUUUUCCAUGAGAGAGAAAAGAAAGAAGGAAGAGGUAUAAAUGUGAUAGAUACUAUUUUCUUUGGUGGUGGCCUUAUAUAAAGCAACUAAAGGAUGUUAUGUCUUUGCUUCUUCUUAUAUAAAAAAAAAAAAAACUAAUUAUAGAAGAGAAAGAAACAAAGAAAAAAAAAACAUUAUUUCAUAUUCUUCUAAAAUAAUGGAAGAACAACUAAAUUCUUUAGCUGUUACUCAUCUUCUUCAACACUCUCUAAGAAGUUUAUGUAUUCAUGAAAACUCUCAAUGGGUUUAUGCUGUCUUUUGGAGAAUCCUACCUAGAAAUUACCCUCCUCCAAAGUAAUUAAAUCAUAUCGAUAUAUAUGAAAUCUACUGAUUCGACUAAUUCAGAUUCGUGUGCUGAUUAAUUAUUAUUUUUUGUCAAUUAGGUGGGAUAGUCAAGGUGGAGCAUAUGAUAGGUCAAGAGGAAAUAGAAGAAAUUGGUAAAUAUUUUUUUCAGAUCAUAUUACAUGUAUCAAAUUAUAUUCUUUUUUUUAUGGAAUUUUUUUUAAUUAUAGGAUAUUGGUAUGGGAAGAUGGUUUUUGCAAUUUUGCUGCAUCAACGGCUGAGAUUAAUGGAAAUGAAUGUCCAGGAUCAUCUUCUAAUAAUAAUUAUGGAGAAUAUCAACAUUAUCAAGGUCUUCAACCUGAGCUUUUUUUCAAGAUGUCACAUGAAAUUUACAACUAUGGAGAAGGGUAAUAAUAGAAAAAUUAUGUAAAAUAUUAUUUUUCAUCAUGGGUUUUUUUUUUUAUAUAUAUAAUUUUUUAUAAUAUUUUUUUGCAGUAUAAUUGGAAAAGUGGCAGCAGAUCAUAGUCAUAAAUGGAUCUAUAAAGAACCAAAUGAACAAGAAAUUAAUUUCUUGUCUGCAUGGCAUAACUCUGCUGAUUCUGUAAGAAUAAAUAAUUACUUCAUUAUUUUCUGUUUAAUAAUUACGAAAAUAAUAACAUACUCAAUGAGAUCUCAUAAGUGAAGUCUGAGUAGGGCAGUGUAUAUGACUAUACGCAAUCUUACUCCUGCUGUGAAAGUAGAGAUGUUGUUUCUGAUACAUCCUCAAUUCGGUGUAGGCAGCCCUACCCUUGUAGAAGUUGAGAGGUUGUUUCUGAUACAUGCUCGACUCGAAACAAAAUGUUUUCUUAUGCAUUUUGUGUUUUUUUUUUUUUUUUGUUAACAGCACCCUAGAACUUGGGAAGCUCAGUUUCGUUCUGGUAUUAAGGUAAUGUUUCUAAACUUAAUUAUAUAUAUAUGUCUUCCAAAACAUUAUAUUAUAUUUCAAAUGUAUUAAAUUAAAAUAUUUUUUGUAUUUUUUCAGACUAUAGCCUUGAUUGCUGUGAGAGAAGGUGUCAUUCAAUUAGGAGCUGUUCAUAAGGUAUAGUAUCUUUCAUUCUCCUCCGUCCAAAACCCUUAAAAGACCAAAACCCUUAAAAGACCAAUCAACGGAUCGGAGAGUUUAUGUUUUAUGCACAGACAAUAUAUAAGAAGUUAUUAUAUUAUUGUGUUAUGUGGACCUAUUUAACAACAUGUGAUUUUUGAUAUCAAGCCUGAUAUAGUAAUUUGAUUUUCAAAGUAAUAUGUUAUAAUUGGUUUAAAAUGCCUUACUAGUGCAAAGAUAUUAAAAUCAUUAUAUAACAUACUUGAAAGAUUAUUUAUAUGUUCUUUUUGUUUAAACUUUUUUGAAGUUUACUGGUUCGACUAAUUUAUGUAGGUUAUUGAAGACCUAAGCUAUGUGGUGCUACUAAGAAAGAAGUUUAGUUACAUAGAAAGCAUUCCGGGAGUGUUAUUGCCACAUCCAUCUUCCUCAGCCUAUCCUUUCAAGGUAGACGGAUACGGGGCGUCACCAGACGCGUGGCAUUUCCAGACUAAUUUACCAGCACCAACACCAACACCAGCUGAAUUAUACGAACAUUUCAAUCAACAUCAACACAUGAAGAUCACACCUUCAAUGAGCAGCUUGGAAGCACUUCUUUCCAAGCUGCCUUCCGUCAUUCCAGCAGAUGUUGCUGCUGGAAUGACGGGGGGUUCAAUACCUACUACCUAUUGUCAUGAGUACCAACAACAACCCCAAUAUAGACCUAAUGUUGAAAUGUUGGGGUUAGAGAAAGUUGCAAAAGAAGAGUAUGAGGAGGAGGAGGAGGAGAAGGAGAAUAAUAAUAACGAAGAGAAAACUCGAAAUAAUAAUAAUAAUAAUAAUAGUAAUGAGAGAUUAGAUCAUAAUGGUGGUGAGAGUAGUAGUUCAAUGUCAUCUUAUAGUCAACAUCAUCAUAAUUAUCAUCAUCAACAUUAUGGUUAUCAUCAUGAUUUGAAUGUAAGUAGUAGCAUGCCUAAUAAUGGAUAUUAGAAGGACAUGAUGGUAAUUAAUUAAGAGUAUUGUUUUAUGUAAUGUACUAUUAAUUAGAUUUGUGUUAGGAAGAAUUUGAUCCUUUUUUUUUCUUCACAUCUAACAAAGUAAUAGUAGUUUCUUCCUUUCUUGUUUCACUCAGUGUUGUGGUGAAUUUUGGAAAUAUUCCCUUCCCUACUUACUUUUUUCUGUCUACUAUUACUUUUAUCUUAACAUCUCCAGCUUUACCAAAGUCGGAAUUAUUAUUUUUUAUCCAUCACUAGUGACUCAAACUCACAACCUGUUUACCAUACGAGCAAUAUUUGGCACUUUCAAUUGAUUAACAAUCAUUAAAAAAGAAAAAAGGAACCCUUGAACACUAAGAUGGGGGAAAUAGGGAAAAUGAUUAACUCUUUUUAAAAGAAAAAAAGUAAAAGAGUGUAUACGUGGGUAUAGUGGUAGGUAAAAGAGCAUACACCGUACACAAAGGGGACCAUUGGAAAAAGAUUUAUUUGGAAUUUUGAAACCUUUUUGAAGGAGUUGAUUGCAUUGCAAUGGCAAAAAAGAGUUUCUCUAUGAUAUCACCAUAUAUAGUAUAUAAUAGUAAUAAUCAUUUCAAUAAGAAAAUGAAAUAAUGCAAUGGAGUUUCAAUUUAUUACCUCACCAAAGAACAAGAGAGACUCUUUGGAAAGAGUUUAAAGAUCAAUAUGUCAAAUAUGAGGACUAUAUAUGAUCUUAAAUCUUCUCUUUUUCUUUUUUCUGGAAAAUGGUAGAGCAAGACAUAAUCAAGUACAACAAAAACAUCAUUGCGCUGCUCAACAUUCGCGGAGUACUGCUAAUCAAUUUGAGGAAAACAAGUAAACUCUCAAAUCAAUACUUUUAACUGACAAUUACAACUGAGUAUGAGACCAAUUACCAUCCUGAUAGUUGAGAAAAAAUAAGGAUACAAAACGAAAGUUUACUGAAUCUAUAUUAGCGUUGAAAUACAAAUGGCUAUCGAAUGCUGAAGAACAAAAAAAAAUUGACUUGUGUUGGCAUGUGUUACAUUCUCAGACAAUGUAGGACAAAAUUGAACCUUGAUUGUGGACUACAUCUCUUCAGUGGUAUAAUGCAAGAGAAACAAUGCCUCCUACUGAAAUGAUGCGACCAGAUCUUUGAAGUGAGUGAGGAGGCCGUCAACUGUCAUGACUUCAUGAUCAGGCUUGCUUCUCACUCGAACACUCACCUGUGACAUCAUUUACAUAUAAGGAAGAUCCGAUUUUUACAGCAAGAAUAAAGCAGUUGAUUGUUGGCUACGGGAUUUAAAAUGAGAACUCGUGGAGGAUGCAUGAAGAAUUACUUAAAGAAACCAAGAAAACCGUGAACGGAGUAUAAAUGAACUACAUUACUCCCUGCAGCAAGAGCUAUUGCACAGAAAGUAAAAAGAAAAUUGUUGCAGAAUAUUUCAAAUGAACCCCCACCCACCUUUAUCCACUUAAAUACCAGAGUUUUGUUUGUGUCAAGGUUUGAACCCAUAGUGUGUGCCUAACCUACACAUCACACAUUGAGGUCUUACCAUUAUACCAAAGCCCGGGGGCAGUCAAAAAUACAAAUUCUUUUUCAAGUAAAUCACUGUCUCAGUAGAAACAUCUUGCCAAGGAAAAGCACAGAGUUGUCAAGCCAGGAGGCGAGCUGACUGACCACCAAAAUGUGAAACAUAUUAAAUACUUUAAAGUUCUCUACAAGGUCCUUCAUGUUCAAUUCACAAAUACUUUCAAUUGUGUAAUGACUUCUGAAGAUCUUUCUAGCCUUCUAGGUGCCAUCACAGAGAAAUUUGUGGCUAAAAGCUUACAACUUCCGUCACCAGAAGUCCAUGACCACUAAUGCUCUCUUUUCUAACCUUAACUUUCUAGUUUGCAAACGGGGUUGGAUGAAGACAAACCAGUAAUUUAUAGAAAGUUAAGCAUAUUAUAAAAUAAUAGAAGAGAACAACAAGAAAGCAAACAAGUGAACCACAAAACACCCAGAUCAAUACCAAUGUUACAUAAAGGAAAUGAUGAUGGCUUUUAACAAUUUAUUCGAACUUAAAAAAGAUCACUAGUGUAAUGGGGCCAGAUAAACGUGUGAUUAGAUGCUUUUUUUUUCUCAUUUUGUUCAGUU